UGGUAAAAGGUCCUAUUUAAUAGGUUUCAUAUUCAUAGCUGGACAGGUUUGCGUUUACAGUCGAAGUUAAACUCUCCUAAGUUGGGCAAGUGGCCGGGAAGUCGACCUUGCGUAGGAUUGGUGCCUGCAGGAAGUCCUUUAGUCGUACCAUAUUAGUGUGGUGACUAAUUGGUAACAGGUCCUAUUGAAUAGGUUUCAUAUUCAUAGCUGGACAGGUUUGCGUUUACAGUCGAAGUUAAACUCUCCUAAGUUGGACUAGUCUGUCCUAGAAAAUCAAGCAGUCAAUAGACUUCAGUUCUGUAAUCCCUAGCCCUUGACCCCCACUACACUCUGCCUAAUGGUGUGGUGCGACGAUGCUACAAUCCAUGCAAGCACCUGCAGGGCAGGGCUGUUACGAGAUUCUUUCGUCUUUCACAGUCCAUGAGAAGAGCAGAUCGACAGUGAAGCGAUACGGUGACAGGAGUACUGAGCAAGAGGAGUCCGCUGCCUUCCUCAUAUCAAGAGGGAGCCUAUUAGUAAGGUUGGCCUAGACUUUGCACCUGUGGGCUGUGGAGGUUGGGGUGUGGGGUGCCAUACUGCCGGGUUCCUUUCUGCGCUGAUGGACCCCAUAAUCCCAAUCCCACACAUGGGAGUUGACGUCUAUGUGAGACAGUGAGAGUGACUAGGGAUCGAUUAGUGGAUGCCAAUCUUUCCUGGUUGUGCGAGGAUAGCUGGGCGGAUUAUGGCAGAUUGUUAGGCUUGAGGUUUGGGGAUAAAAGAUUGAGUAGAACACAAGGUUGAAUGAGCACAUGGUAGUGUGUGAAUGAAGAGGGAGAGGAAGAUUUAAAGGGCAAAAGUGUCGUCUCAUACACCUGUUAUUGAAUUAGUUUUAUAGUUUGGUGGCUGAAUAUGGUACUGGCCAUGAUGUUUCUUUACGUUAAAUACUGUUUCAAACUGAUAUAGUCCCUCUAUAUGGAUAUAUAGAGCCUAGUACAUGUUUUGAGAUUUACUUUGACCAUCCAUAAGAGCAAUAAUAUAUGCGAUGUAUCCCACAAAAAGUACACCCUUGAAUUCAUAUUUUUAAGGAGUUUUCAAUCCCACAAAAAGUACACCGUUGAAUUCAUAUUUGUAAGAAGUUUUCAAUGGUAUAAUUUUUACAGCAUGCAUCUCAUAUAAUAUUGAUCUUAUCAAUGGUCAAAGUAAAUCUCGAGAUACAAAUUAGGCCCUACAUAUCCGGAUGGAGGGAAUAGUUUUUUAGGGUCAAGAAUCUGUUGUUGAAAGAGAUAAGUGCACAUUACACCCCUGAAUUAUGGCAGGAGUUCACCCUGAACUCCAAAACCAGCAAGAAGGCACCCCUCAACUAUCAAAACUAGUCACAUACUAUUGGCACAUACAUAUUGUCAUAGCUUCCCCAACAUGCUUUGAACUACCAAGGAUUACUUUGCUAGCUAUGACACACUGUAUGCUAUUUUUGGAACAGGCUUAAAUUGCACUGAGUACAAUCCUUCGUGAAUGACCAGCUUUGGCACAUGGUUUUCUUGUUUAUGGUUUUGAGAACUAACAUUCUCUAUGUUCUAUGAAAUAUACACUUUACAAUAGUUUUAUGAAAGCUACCCUCUCGUUGUCUCUAAUUUUUGUGUGCUUUGUUCAGGUACUCAAUGCUUUGAUCUUAUCAAGAUUCAUCACGGAAUGGCUCCAAGAAACUGCACUUGAGCAACUAUCAGAAAUAUCUAAAUGUCUGUAUCUGCUAGUUGAAGAUGGAAAAUUAUUGAAAGGGGAUAUCACCAUGUUGAGUUCAAUUCUAAAUGUUAUUGCAUGUACAAUGAGGUUGUCUAUGAAAAGGAAGAUAUACCAACCGCAUUUUACCUUGUCCCUCCAUGGCAUAUUUAAGUUGUGCCAAGCUAUUGAUGGCAAUUCAAGAAGUAUCGAACUUAAGCCAUCAAUGGAGCUUGGUACUGAUGUCGUCCUUAUGAACGGUCCUCUGCCAAUUUUUUUCUGAAAUGGUACUUUUUUGUGCCCCUGAAUUCAUUUAAUGAGCACUUGACAUUAUUGCUUUAGUAUUGUGAUCAGAAUGUGAACCUAAAUGUUCAAAAUUAUUGCUUCUGUAUUGCGAUCGUAUCUAGAUCUUCAUAAUCAUUUUCUGCUUUUGUUUGCCAAUGACAGGAUAAGUCAAGAAGUGUGAUGGUUGUUUCAUGGGUAACUUCCAAUAUCUUCUGGUUGUGUAAACAAAAGUCUGCAGCGGAAAUGUCAUGUGAAGAGCCACUAAACAAUGAGUGUCUACUAUCAAAGAUAUUGCGUUGGUUAGUGGCUUCUGUAAUCCUUGGCAGAAUCUCCCGCAUCUCUCCUGAAAAGAGGGGAGGUCUUGCCACGAGCACAAAUAGUCCCGGAACUCUUCAGUCUUUCUUGAACCAUUCAUCUGAAACCUUUGAAAUGGCGGAUAGUCACGUUGCGGAUGAGGCGCUGGCUGCCAUUAUACUUUACCUACAAGGUCACGUGAAAAAGAAGAUUGAUACUUUGCCGUCGGUUGUGACGGCUCUUAGCUUGUUACUUGUUGACAGAUGCAGCGAACAAGGUACGCUUGGAUCUGUUGUGUUAUGAUACCAAGAUGUUUCAUUAUUAUACUUCCAAAGUAUAAAUGUUGAGUCUUGUCUCCAGGUUAAUUGCUUAUGAGUGUGCGCUAACUAUUUUCUAACCUUUGUGAAUCAGUUUUGGUUGAUAGCCGCGGACAAAUCGAAACGCUUUGCUCGAAGAUACAUUGCCCCGCCGAAUCUAAUCCCGCAUGGAGAUGGUAUGUGUAGCAUUCUUAUUAUCUGCGAGCAUAUGCUUUUUGUGACGAUGAGCAGGUGAUUUAAUGGUCUUUUUUAUUCUCUCAGGCAUUAUUAUCUACCUUGGAGAGAUCCUGCCUUGCAGCACACUGCGACAGAGCGCAUGGAAGUAGAGCAGUCAUGCCGAAGCCUGUUGAUCAUGUUUUCUAAUGCCCUGAGCGCUGCUGGGUUGCCGGCAGGUAUCCCGGUGUUGUCUGUUGGUGACAUUGACAAGUCUGGGCUGUUCCAGUGGGAAAGAGACUCCGUGGUUGAGCAGCCUCACGCGUAGUUCGUUGACUGAUUUGCAGUUGACUAGGCUAGUUUUUUUUUUUGCGGGAAGUUGACUACUAGGCUAAUUGCUGGAGAAAUUAGCGAAUUCAUCGUUUGCAUGAUUUUUUAUAUUUAUUUAAAGAAGUGAUGGCUGGUUCAGUUGGCGAUUUUGGGUUUUAGAUGCACCAAACUGAACUUGUGCGACCGACCUAUCUGUUUGGAAGAAAAAUGCCAGUGAUCUGCGUUUAGAUGAGAUGAUGAAGAAAAAUGUGGUUAUUUUCAGCAAUUUACUCUGCUUUGAACUUGGAUUUUGAUACUUGUGGUGAUUACCUUUCAUUUUCUGGGAUUGCUUCCUGGGGUCAUCUCUAACUGUUGCCAAAGGAAUUGGAGUUCUUUUUUUAAUAAAAAAACACAAGAAGGGGCACGAAGAACCCAGUACUGCAUCGACAUCUCUGUUGCCAAAGGAAUUGGAGUUCUUUUUUUAAUAAAAAAACACUGCAUCGACAAAGCGGUGGGGCAGUGCAUUUUUCAGCUGGACCCAAAGAGAAAGAACACAAUCGAGUCCUUGGCAGCCUCCAUCCUUUGGUGGAGCUCAGGAAUGAACCUAAAACUAAUCCAGGAUCCAACACCCACCAUGCAGAUAAUUAAUCUUUAUGCGAGUGUGACAUGUAAUGCCUUGUAUAUUUGUCUACCUUUGGUCCCCAAGAGCCGUCUUGGUUAGAUUUUCGUGUCUGGUCAGUGAUUGGACAAGUUGCCCGGGCGUAUGAGGAGGGUUUGAAGGGUCCAGCUGUAGAUGCUCUUAUCAUGCUAUUUACAUACAACUAACCGUGGUAUUGUUUCAACAACGUUUUUGCUAAACAUUUCGACCAAAAACACUAAAAAAUAUAUCAUGUACAUGGAAAUUUCUUCAAAAGCAUUUUACCGAACAUUUCAAGUGCACGCGAUAGAUGAACAAAGAAGUAAAAUUUAGAAGAAGGUGGUUUGCUGGCAGGUUGCAACAUUGCGUUCAAGAUGAAAAGUUGUGUUGUGGUUCACCAAUUAGUUACCUCGUUUAGGAAUUGAUACAAGUUGUACACCACGUAAGAAGUUAUCACAACAACCAGCUUAGUCCAUGUGCUCGUCACAAUUCUCAAGUCAAGUUUUGGUGCCACGAGUUUGGAAAGAGUCAAGUUAGUACAGCUUUUUAAAUAAACAGUGUUGACUUUUCUGGCACGUCAGCCCUGACGGGUGGGUCCCGCUUGUCAUAAAUAAACGUGUUUAAAUCAUCUAAAUUGAUCAUUUUUUGAAAGUGGUGGUUUUUAGUAACAAAAUUACAAAAAGUUUGUAGUUUCCGGUCACUUUUUUGAAUGUGAUAGUUUAGUGGAACGGCAACCCCAAAUGUGGUAGUUUUUCUUGGGUCAGUUGGUGGAGGAAGAGUAGUCUUCUUUCUUGGCUAUAGAGCGGAGAAGGUGCUCUCCCAAGUCAAAAUUCGUCCCCACAAUACACAGUUGGAGCUCUCGUUUGUCUGAAUGGAUUCGAUCUCCACAUUGAUGUGGUCUUGGUGGCAAAAGGAUUCGACCAUUGGAGCUAUGGUGCAGCGGGAAGGAUCAUGUGUGAAUUUGCAUGCAGCAUGCGUACUGUGUUACAUGAAGCGCGUAGCACCUUCUCCUGCUGCUCCUGCUCACGAAGGAAGACCACAUUUGGUCCACCAGAAGAAGACCGAAGAGAUGUUCUUGGGCGAGCUGGUGACCGGAGAUGGGCUCCGCGGCCUGGUGCUGGUGGUGAACGAAGGAAACUCUUCGGUCUGCUGGUGAAGGAAGGAAGACAGGCUCUUGGUCCUGGAGGAGACCGACAGGCAGGGUGUUGGAAUUGAAAACAAUCAAAAAGGAAGAUAUAGUUUCGAGAUUUGGCUUUAUUUUUCUUCCUCGGCUAGCUCUAGUGAUCCAAGCUUUGCAGGAAAAAAGUGGCUAGCGGAUCCAUGCGGUGCGGACGGGUCGGUAAACUCGGGGCCUCGGGGGAAGGUGGAUCGUGCCCCUAGUUCGGAUCUGUAGCUAGAAUUUAGUUUUUCAUUACUCAAACUCAAAGUAAUUAAGAUCGUAAGUUAAGGAUUUGCUUUCUUCUGCUAUCACCUACUCACUUGCUGGGACCUUUUACCAUUACUCAAACUCAAAGUAAUUAAGAUGGUUAAGUUGAUAAGACUAAUAGUGAGUAGGUGAUAGCAGAAGAAAGCAAGCAGAGCGCCAACAAUGGGCGGGCACCUCAAGCGCGGAGGCGGAGCUUGUGUAAGCUGAGGCAGAGCUUGUGCGGCACUCCUAUGGAGAAGGGGACAGCGGGAGCUAAGAUAAGAUCAGUUCACGGGUCCAUCUCAUUGGAGAGACCAAGGAGAAGCUUAACACAGGGUGAUGAUCUAGGCGAGGCGUACUGCAGAUCAAAGUGACUCAUGGGCCGGGCCCCACAUGAAAGCCACCCGUGCUGCACGGCCAACCCGGAUAUAUCUCAAACGCUGCCAUCUGGGACUUUUCUGAAUAAAUGCACCGCAUGCCCUUUCUAAGAAAAGGAGUGAGUGAGCAGGCCUACUUAAAUGCCAGCGGCCAGCCGACUGCCGUAAGCAAGCUUGUUCCCGCAAAGCCCUCUGUCUCCGAUUUGAGGCAUAACACGUUCGAACCAUGUGAUUCGGACGGUUGUGAGGGUUUAAUGGUUGGUGUUGGAGAUCUUUAGUUUUUAUGCAUCACUAGCAACCACCGCUCCCGAGAGCGAAAUCAUCCGUUUUCUUGCAGUCCUCUUGGCAGGGCAUUUUUUUAGAAAGCACCACCCAAAGUCCACACAACACCAGACUAAGCAUCUCUAGCAGAUCACGUAAACUCGAGCAUCCAGCAAAAUAACCACUGGUUCACGAGAUGGAGGCGAUUUUUCCGCCCCCAAAUAAAUUCCGAAUAUUCGACCAUCCUAGAUUUUUUUUGCGGGAUUCUGCAUAUUCCGGACCGUUUCCGCUAUAUCUAUGAGAAUGGGGGCAAUUUUUACGGGGCCUGAAAAUCAAGAAACGAUUGGCGGGACGAAACUUUCAGCUCCCGCCACCGUCUUCUUCGAGCGUGACCUCGUCGGAUCGCCUCAACGCCGGCGACCACCGGACCCUAGCUGCAGCGCCACAAACUGCCGCUGCAUGAGCUAGCUGCUGCCGUCAAAGCAUCUCCAGCCGUUCGGCCGCCCAGGGGCUUGAAAUAGCGCCGCCUGGGGGUGCGCCGGCUAAAAAAUCGGCGUGGGGGCGAUCGGUUUUCUAGCCGUCGGCCCCAGGUCACCCCCAGGUGCCGCUUUUUAAAGUUUUUUUAGAAACAUACUCGGCCAAAAUUCGGCCAAACACGACACAGAAUUCGGCAAAAUUUAGGCGUUUCAUUGUUUUUUUACAUACUGAAAACAUAAUCUAAAACAAAAAAACAACAACUACUACUGCCGCGCCGCCUACAGGCCGAAGAGCUUGCCGAAGGCGAUGUAGUCGCCACCGUCGUCGUCAUCCUCCUCCUUCUUCACGCCGCUGCCAUCCCUGAUGCACCCCUGCCUUGGGUCGCCUUGGCGAACGGGUUUGGCUGGCGGCGGUGCCUCGUCGUCGCUGUCUUCAAGGAGGAUGACGCCGCCCUCGUCGCGGCUGCGGCGCCGAGCAGAGAUCUCCUCAAGGGCGCGCUGGCGCUCCAUCUCCAGCCGGUAGUAGUUCUCGCGCCACUUGAUGGCGACCUCGUCGGCGGUGGCCAUGUCGUCGUGCUCGCUCUUAUCGGCGACGAGCCCCGGCUCCGUCUUCGGCUUGACGAGGCGGGAGGAGGGAGCAGAGGAGCCAUCGCCGUCCUCGUUGAUGAUGAGGGCGCCGUCGCGGGUCGACCGGCGUCUCCAUGGGCUCGGACUUGACGUUGGCAAGCACCGACGAACUGGACGAAUGGGAGGAGGAAGAGGACCCGCCCGCCAUGCGCCUUGGCAACCAAGGGCCCCCGCUCCGGCGGGGGACCGGGGCCGGGGCCGCCGGGUACUCGAGCGGCGGCUCGUUGCCGCCCUCGAGGUGCUCGAGGACGAAGUGGAGGGUGCGCCUAGGGAUGCCCCACCACAGGUGGCGGCCAUCGUUGUUGUGGCGCCCCCUCACCGACGCGUUGUUGGUGGAGGCCAGCUGUUCCUCGAGGCGGCGUUGGAAGUACGCCGCCCACUGCGCGUGGUUGUUGGCGGCGUACUCCAGACGGCCCCGCACCUCCUCCGGCAGGGAGGCCUGAACGCACGUGAUCUCGCCGUGGAAGCGGUCGGCGUCGGGCUGCGGGGGAACGGGGACACCUCCGGCGCUGAGCCUUGAUACGUCUCCGUCGUAUCUACUUUUCCAAACACUUUUGCCCUUGUCUUGGACUCUAACUUGCAUGAUUUGAAUGGAACUAACCCGGACUGAUCUUUGUGCAGAAACAAAAGUUCUCGGAAUGACCUGAAACUUCACGGAGAUUAUUUUUGGAAAUAAUAAAAAAUAUUGGCGAAAGAAUCAAGGCUAGGAGGCCCACACCAUGUCCACGAGGGUGGGAGGCGCGCCUGCUGAAGGAAAUAUGCCCUAGAGGCAAUAAUAAAGUUAUUAUUUAUUUCCUUAUAUCAUGAUAAAUGUUUAUUAUUCAUGCUAGAAUUGUAUUAACCAGAAACGUAAUACUUGUGUGAAUACAUAGACAAACAGAGUGUCACUAGUAUGCCUCUACUUGACUAGCUCGUUAAUCAAAGAUGGUUAUGUUUCCUAGCCAUUGACAUGGGUUGUCAUUUGAUUAACGGGGUCACAUCAUUAGGAGAAUGAUGUGAUUGACUUGACCCAUUCCGUUAGCUUAGCACUCGAUCGUUUAGUAUGUUGCUAUUGCUUUCUUCAUGACUUAUACAUGUUCCUAUGACUAUGAGAUUAUGCAACUCCCGUUUACCGGAGGAACACUUUGUGUGCUACCAAACGUCACAACGUAACUGCGUGAUUAUAAAGGUGCUCUACAGGUGUCUCUGAAGGUACUUGUUGGGUUGGCGUAUUUCGAGAUUAGGAUUUGUCACUCCGAUUGUCGGAGAGGUAUCUCUGGGCCCACUCGGUAAUGCACAUCACUUAAGCCGCAACUAAUGAGUUAGUUGCGGGAUGAUGUAUUACGGAACGAGUAAAGAGACUUGCUGGUAACAAGAUUGAACUAGGUAUUGAGAUACCGACGAUCGGAUCUCGGGCAAAUAAUAUACCGAUGACAAAGGGAACAACGUAUGUUGUUAUGCGGUCUGACCGAUAAAGAUCUUCGUAGAAUAUGUGGGAGCCAAUAUGAGCAUCCAGGUUCCGCUAUUGGUUAUUGACCGGAGACGUGUCUCGGUCAUGUCUACAUAGUUCUCGAACCCGUAGGGUCCGCACGCUUAACGUUUCGAUGAUAGUUAUAUUAUGAGUUUAUAUGUUUUGAUGUACCGAAGGUUUUUCGGAGUCCCGAAUGUGAUCACGGACAUGACGAGGAGUCUCGAAAUGGUCGAGACAUGAAGAUUGAUAUAUUGGAAGCCUAUAUUUGGAUAUCGGAAGUGUUCCGGGUGAAAUCAGGAUUUUACCGGAGUACCGGAGGGGUUACCGGAACCCCCCGGGGGUUAAUGGGCCAUAGUGGGCCUUAGUGGAGAAGAGGAUAGGCGGCCAGGGCAAGGGCCGCGCGCUCCUCCCCCCUAGUCCGAAUAGGACAAGGAGAGGGGGGCGGCGCCCCCCCUUUCCUUCUUCUCCUCCUCCUCUUUCCCCCUCCACUCCUAAUCCAACUAGGAAAAGGGAGGGAGUCCUACUCCCGGUGGGAGUAGGACUCCACCUGGCGCGCCCCUCCUGGCCGGCCGCACCUCCCCCCUUGCUCCUUUAUAUACGGGGGCAGGGGCACCCUGGAGACACAAUAAUUGAUCGUUUGAUCUUUUAGCCAUGUGCGGUGCCCCCCUCCACCAUAGUCCACCUCGAUAAUACUGUAGCGGUGCUUAGGCGAAGCCCUGCGUCGGUAGAACAUCAUCAUCGUCACCACGCCGUCGUGCUGACAAAACUCUCCCUCAACACUCGGCUGGAUCGGAGUUCAAGGGACGUCAUCGGGCUGAACGUGUGCUGAACUCGGAGGUGCCGUGCGUUCGGUACUUGAUCGGUCGGAUCAUGAAGAUGUACGACUACAUCAACCGGGUUGUACUAACGCUUUCGCUUUUGGUCUACGAGGGUACGUGGACAACACUCUCCCCUCUCGUUGCUAUGCAUCACCAUGAUCUUGCAUGUGCGUAGGAUUUUUUUUUGAAAUUACUACGUUCCCCAACAGUGGCAUCCGAGCCUGGUUUUAUGCGUUGAUAUUAUAUGCACGAGUAGAACACAAGUGACUUGUGGGCGAUAUAAGUCAUACUGCUUACCAGCAUGUCAUACUUUGGUUCGGCAGUAUUGUUGGAUGAAGCGGCCCGGACCGACAUUACGCGUACGCUUACGCGAGACUGGUUCUACCGACGUGCUUUGCACACAGGUGGCUGGCGGGUGUCAGUUUCUCCAACUUUAGUUGAACCGAGUGUGGCUACGCUCGGUCCUUGCGAAGGUUAAAACAGCACCAACUUGACAAACUAUCAUUGUGGUUUUGAUGCGUAGGUAAGAACGGUUCUUGCUAAGCCCGUAGCAGCCACGUAAAAUUUGCAACAACAAAGUAGAGGACGUCUAACUUGUUUUUGCAGGGCAUGUUGUGAUGUGAUAUGGUCAAGACAUGAUGCUAAAUUUUAUUGUAUGAGAUGAUCAUGUUUUGUAACCGAGUUAUCGGCAACUGGCAGGAGCCAUAUGGUUGUCGCUUUAUUGUAUGCAAUGCAAACGCCCUGUAAUGCUUUACUUUAUCACUAAGCGGUAGCGAUAGUCGUAGAAGCAUAAGUUGGCGAGACGACAACGAUGGUGUCGCGCCGGUGACGAUGGUGAUCAUGACGGUGCUGAAGGAAAUAUGCCCUAGAGGCAAUAAUAAAGUAUUAUAUAUUUCCUUAUAUCAUGAUAAAUGUUUAUUAUUCAUGCUAGAAUUGUAUUAACCGGAAACAUAAUACAUGUGUGAAUACAUAGACAAACAGAGUGUCACUAGUAUGCCUCUACUUGACUAGCUCGUUAAUCAAAGAUGGUUAUGUUUCCUAGCCAUAGACAUUAGUUGUCAUUUGAUUAACGGGAUCACCUCAUUAGGAGAAUGAUGUGAUUGACUUGACCCAUUCCGUUAGCUUAGCACCCGAUCGUUUAGUAUGUUGCUAUUGCUUUCUUCAUGACUUAUACAUGUUCCUAUGACUAUGAGAUUAUGCAACUCCCGUUACCGGAGGAACACUUUGUGUGCUACCAAACGUCACAACGUAAAUGGGUGAUUAUAAAGGUGCUCUACAGGUGUCUCCAAAGGUACUUGUUGGGUUGGCGUAUUUCGAGAUUAGGAUUUGUCACUCCGAUUGUCGGAGAGGUAUCUCUGGGCCCACUCGGUAAUGCACAUCACUAUAAGCCUUGCAAGCAUUGUGACUAAUGAGUUAGUUGCGGGAUGAUGUAUUACGGAACGAGUAAAGAGACUUGCCGGUAACGAGAUUGAACUAGGUAUCGAGAUACCAACGAUCGAAUCUCGGGCAAGUAACAUACCGAUGACAAAGGGAACAACGUAUGUUGUUAUGCGGUCUGACCGAUAAAGAUCUUCGUAGAAUAUGUGGCAGCCAAUAUGGGCAUCCAGGUCCCGCUAUUGGUUAUUGACCGGAGAGGUGUCUCGGUCAUGUCUACAUAGUUCUCGAACCCGAAGGGUCGGCACGCUUAACGUUACGAUGACAGUUUUAUUGAGUUUUGAUGUACCGAAGUAGUUCGGAGUCCCGGAUGAGAUCGGAGACAUGCCGAGGAGUCUCGAAAUGGCCGAGACGUAAAGAUCGAUAUAUUGGACGACUAUAUUCGGACUUUGGAAAGGUUCCGAGUGAUUCGGGUAUUUUUCGGAGUACCGGAGAGUUACGGGAAUUCGUAUUGGGCCUUAAUGGGCCAUACGGGAAAGGAGAGAAAGGCCUCAAAAGGUGGCCGCGCCCCUCCCCAUGAUCUGGUCCGAAUUGGACUAGGGAAGGGGGGCGCCCCCUUCCUUCUUUCUCCUUCCCCCUUCCCUUCUCCUACUCCCACAAGGGAAGGAGGAGUCCUACUCCCGGUGGGAGUAGGACUCCCCCCUUUGGCGCGCCUCUCCCCUUGGCCGGCUGCCUCCCCCUUGCUCCUUUAUAUACGGGGGCAGGGGGCACCCCAGAGAGAUAACAAUUGAUCCUUGAGAUCUCUUAGCCGUGUGCGGUGCCCCCUCCACCAAAUUACACCUCGAUAAUACCGUUGCGGAGCUUAGGCGAAGCCCUGCGUCGGUGAAACAUCAUCAUCGUCACCACGCCGUCAUGCUGACGAAACUCUCCCUCAACACUCGGCUGGAUCGGAGUUCGAGGGACGUCAUCGAGCUGAACGUGUGUAGAACUCGGAGGUGCCGUACGUUCGGUACUUGAUCGGUCGGAUCGUGAAGACGUAUGACUACAUCAACCGCGUUGUGAUAACGCUUCCGCUGUCGGUCUACGAGGGUACGUGGACAACACUCUCCCCUCUCGUUGCUAUGCAUCACCAUGAUCUUGCAUGUGCGGAGGAAAAUUUUGAAAUUACUACGUUCCCAACAGUGGCAUCCGAGCCUGGUUUUAUGCGUUGAUGCUAUGCACGAGUAGAACACAAGUGAGUUGUGGGCGAUAUAAGUCAUACUUCUUACCAGCAUGUCAUACUUUGGUUCAGCGAUAUUGUGAGAUGAAGCGGCCCGGACCGACAUUACGCGUACGCUUACGCGAGACUGGUUUCACCGUUCGGAGCACUCGUUGCUUAAAGGUGACUGGCGGGUGUCUGUCUCUCUCACUUUAGUUGAACCAAGUGUCGCUACGCCCGGUCCUUGCGAAGGUUAAAACAGCACCAAUUUGACAAACUAUCGUUGUGGUUUUGAUGCGUAGGUAAGAACGGUUCUUACUAAGCCCGUAGCAGCCACGUAAAACUUGCAACAACAAAGUAGAGGACGUCUAACUUGUUUUUGCAGGGCAUGUUGUGAUGUGAUAUGGUCAAGACAUGAUGUGAUAUAAUUUGUUGUAUGAGAUGAUCAUGUUUUGUAACCGAGUUAUCGGCAACUGGCAGGAGCCAUAUGGUUGUCGCUUUAUUGUAUGAGAUGCAAUCACCAUGUAAUAGUUUUACUUUAUCACUAAGCGGUAGCGAUAGUCGUAAAAGCAAUUAGUUGGCGAGACGACAACGAUACUACGAUGGAGAUCAAGGUGUCGCGCCGGUAACGAUGGUGAUCAUGACGGUGCUUCGGAGUGGAGAUCACGAACACGGUGCUUCGGAGAUGGAGAUCACAAGCACGGUGCUUCGGAGAUGGAGAUCACAAGCACGGUGCUUCGGAGAUGGAGAUCACAAGCACAAGAUGAUGAUGGCCAUAUCAUAUCACUUAUAUUGAUUGCAUGUGAUGUUAAUCCUUUAUGCAUCUUAUCUUGCUUUGAUUGACGGUAGCAUUAUAAGAUGAUCUCUCACUAAAAUUUCAAGACAAAAGUGUUCUCCCUGAGUAUGCACCGUUGCGAAAGUUCUUCGUGCUGAGACACCACGUGUUAAUCGGGUGUGAUAGGCUCUACGUUCAAAUACAACGGGUGCAAAACAGUUGCACACGCGGAAUACUCAGGUUAAACUUGACGAGCCUAACAUAUAUACAGAUAUGGCCUCGGAACACAGAGACCGAAAGGUCGAGCGUGAAUCAUAUAGUAGAUAUGAUCAACAUAGUGAUGUUCACCAUUGAAACUACUCCAUCUCACGUGUUAAUCGGACAUGGUUUAGUUGCUUUGGAUCACGUAAUCACUUAGAUGAUUAGAGGGAUGUCUAUCUAAGUGGGAGUUCUUAAGUAAUAUGAUUAAUUGAACUUAAAUUUAUCAUGAACUUAGUCUUGACAGUAUUUUGCAAGUUAUGUUGUAGAUCAAUAGCUCGCAUUGUUGCUUCCCUGUGUUUAUUUUUGAUAUGAUUCCUAGAGAAAAUUAUGUUGAAAGAUGUUAGUAGCAAAGAUGCGGAUUGGAUCCGUGAUCUGAGGAUUAUCCUCAUUGCUGCACAGAAGAAUUAUGUCCUUAAUGCACCGCUAGGUGACAUACCUAUUGCAGGAGCAGAUGCAGACGUUAUGAAUGUUUGGCUAGCUCAAUAUGAUGACUACUUGAUAGUUUAGUGCACCAUGCUUAAACGGCUUUGAAUCGGGAUUUCAAAGACGUUUUGAACGUCAUGGACCAUAUGAGAUGUUCCAGGAGUUGAAGUUAAUAUUUCAAGCAAAUACCCGAGUUGAGAGAUAUGAAGUCUCCAACAAGUUCUAUAGCUAAAAGAUGGAGGAGAAUCGCUCAACUAGUGAGCAUGUGCUCAGAUUGUCUGGGUACUACAAUCGCUUGAAUCAAGUGGGAGUUAAUCUUCCAGAUAAAAUAGUGAUUGACAGAAUUCUCUAGUCACCAUCACCAAGUUAGUAGAACUUCGUGAUGAACUAUAGUAUGCAAGGGAUGACGAAAGUAAUUCCCGAGCUCUUCGUGAUGCUGAAAUCGACGAAGGUAGAAAUCAAGAAAAACAUCAAGUGUUGAUGGUUGACGAGACCACUAGUUUCAAGAAAAGGGCAAAGGGAAGAAGGGGAACUUCAAAAAGAAUGGCAAGCAAGUUGCUACUCAAGUGAAGAAGCCCAAGUCUGUACCUAAGCCUGAGACUAAGUGCUUCUACUGCAAAGGGACUGGUCACUGGAGGCGGAACUGCCCCAAGUAUUUGGUGGAUAAGAAGGAUGGCAAAGUGAACAAAGGUAUAUUGGAUAUACAUGUUAUUGAUGUGUACUUACUAGUGUUUAUAGCAACCCCUCAGUAUUUGAUACUGGUUCAGUUGCUAAAGAGUAGUAACUCAAAAACGGGAGUUGCAGAAUAAACAGAGACUAGUAAAAGGCGAGGUGACGAUGUGUGUUGGAAGUAGUUCCAAGAUUGAUAUGAUCAUCAUCGCACACUCCCUAUACUUUCAGGAUUAGUGUUGAAACUAAAUAAGUGUUAUUUGGUGUUUGCGUUGAGCAUGAAUAUGAUUUGAUCAUGUUUAUUGCAAUACGGUUAUUCAUUUAAGUUAGAGAACAAUUGUUGUUCUGUUUACAUGAAUAAAAACCUUUUAUGGUCAUACACACCAACAAAAAUGGUUUGUUGGAUCUCGAUCGUAGUGAUACACAUAUUCAUAAUAAUGAAGCCAAAAGAUGCAAAGUUAAUAAUGAUAGUGCAACUUAUUUGUGGCACUGCCGUUUAGGUCAUAUUGGUGUAAAGCGCAUGAAGAAACUCCAUACUGAUGGGAUUUUGGAAUCACUUGAUGCUUGCGAACCGUGCCUCAUGGGCAAAAUGACUAAAACGCCGUUCUCCGGAACUAUGUAGAGAGCAACAGAUUUGUUGGAAAUCAUACAUACAGAUGUAUGUGGCCCGAUGAAUAUUGAGGCUCGUAGCAGGUAUCAUUAUUUUCUGACCUUCACAGAUGAUUUGAGCAGAUAUGGGUAUAUCUACUUAAUGAAACAGAAGUCUGAAACAUUUGAAAAGUUCAUAUAAUUUCAGAGUGAAGUGGAAAAUCAUCGUAACAAGAAAAUAAAGUUUCUACGAUCUGAUCGUGGAGAAGAGUAUUUGAGUUACGAGUUUGGCCUUCAGUUAAAACAAUGUGAAAUAGUUUCGUUACUCACGCCACCUGGAACACCACAGUGUGAUGGUGUGUCCAAACAUCGUAACCGUACUUUAUUAGAUAUGGUGCGAUAUAUGAUGUCUCUUACCAAUUUACCAUUAUCGUUUUGGGGUUAUGCAUUAGAGACAGCUACAUUCACGUUAAAUAAGGCACCAUCAAAAUCCGUUGAGACGACGCCUUAUGAACUGUGGUUUGGCAAGAAACCAAAGUUGUCGUUUCUUAAAGUUUGGGGUUGCGAUGCUUAUGUGAAAAAGUUUCAUCCUGAUAAGCUCAAACCCAAAUCGGAGAAAUGUGUCUUCAUAGGAUACCCAAAGGAGACUGUUGGGUACACCUUCUAUCACAGAUCCGAAGGCAAGACAUUCGUUGCUAAGAAUGGAUCCUUUCUAGAGAAGGAGUUUCUCUCGAAAUAAGUGAGUGGGAGGAAAGUAGAACUUGAUGAGGUAACUGUACCUGCUCCCUUAUUGGAAAGUAGUUCAUCACAGAAAUCUGUUCCUGUGACUUCUACACCAAUUAGUGAGGAAGUUAAUGAUGAUGAUCAUGUAACUUCAGAUCAAGUUACUACCAAACCUCGUAGGUAAACCAGAGUAAGAUCCGCACCAGAGUGGUACGGUAAUCCUGUUCUGGAGGUUAUGUUACUAGACCAUGACGAACCUACGAACUAUGAAGAAGCGAUGGUGAGGCCAGAUUCCGCAAAAUGGCUUGAGGCCAUGAAAUCUGAGAUGAGAUCCAUGUAUGAGAACAAAGUAUGGACUUUGGUUGACUUGCCCGAUGAUCGGCAAGCAAUUGAGAAUAAAUGGAUCUUCAAGAGGAAGACGGACGCUGAUAGUAGUGUUACUAUCUAAAAAGCUAGAAUUGUCGCAAAAAGGUUUCCGACAAGUUCAAAGUGUUGACUACGAUGAGAGUUUCUCACUCGUAUCUAUGCUUAAGUCUGUCCGAAUCAUGUUAGCAUUGCCGCAUUUUAUGAAAUAUGGCAAAUGGAUAAACAAAACUGCAUUCCUUAAUGGAUUUAUUAAAGAAGAGUUGUAUAUGAUGCAACCAGAAGGUUUUGUCAAUCCUAAAGGUGCUAACAAAAUAUGCAAGCUCCAACGAUCCAUCUAUGGACUGGUGCAAGCAUCUCGGAGUUGGAAUAUACACUUUGAUAAGUUGAUCAAAGGAUAUAGUUUUAUAUAGACUUGCGGUGAAGCCUGUAUUUACAAGAAAGUGAGUGGGAGCACUACAGCAUUUCUGAUAAGUAUAUGUGAAUGACAUAUUGUUGAUCGGAAAUAAUGUAGAAUUAUUCUGCAAAGCAUAAAGGAGUGUUUGAAAGGAGUUUUUCAAAGAAAGACCUCGGUGAAGCUGCUUACAUAUUGAGCAUCAAGAUAGAUGAAGAUGCUUGAUAAGUUUUUCAAUGAGUACAUACCUUAACAAGAUUUUGAAGUAGUUCAAAAUAGAACAGUCAAAGAAAGAGUUCUUGCCUGUGUUACAAGGUGUGAAAUUGAGUAAAGACUCAAAGCCAGACCACGGCAAAAGAUAGAAAGAGAAUGAAAGUCAUUCCCUAUGCCUUGGCCAUAGGUUCUAUAAAGUAUGCCAUGCUGUAUACCAGAUCUUUUGUAUACCCUACACUGAUUUUGGCAAGGGAGUACAAUAGUGAUCUAGGAGUAGAUCACUGGACAGCGGUCAAAAAUUAUCCUUAGUGGAAUAAGGAUAUGUUUCUCGAUUAUGGAAGUGAAAAAAGGUUCGUUGUAAAGGGUUACGUCGAUGCAAGUUUUGACACUAAAUCUAGAUGACUCUAAGUCUCGGUCUAGAUACAUAUUGAAAGUGCGAGCAAUUAGCUAGAGUAGCUCCGUGCAGAGCAUUGUAGACAUAGAAAUUUGCAAAAUACUUACGGAUCUGAAUGUGACAGACCCGUUGACUAAAAUUAUCUCACAAUCAAAACAUGAUCACACCUUAUUACUCUUUGGGUGUUAAUCACAUAGCGAUGUGAACUAGAUUAUUGACUCUAGUAAACCCUUUGAGUGUUGGUCACAUAGAGAUGUGAACUAUGGGUGUUAAUCACAUGGUGAUGUGAAUUAUUGAUGUUAAAUCACAUGGCGAUGUGAACUAUAUUAUUGACUCUAGUGCAAGUGGGAGACUGAAGGAAAUAUGCCCUAGAGGCAAUAAUAAAGUAUUAUAUAUUUCCUUAUAUCAUGAUAAAUGUUUAUUAUUCAUGCUACAAUUGUAUUAACUAGAAACAUAAUACAUGUGUGAAUACAUAGACAAACAGAGUGUCACUAGUAUGCCUCUACUUGACUAGCUCGUUAAUCAAAGAUGGUUAUGUUUCCUAGCCAUAGACAUGAGUUGUCAUUUGAUUAACGGGAUCACCUCAUUAGGAGAAUGACGUGAUUGACUUGACCCAUUCCGUUAGCUUAGCACCCGAUCGUUUAGUAUGUUGCUAUUGCUUUCUUCAUGACUUAUACAUGUUCCUAUGACUAUGAGAUUAUGCAACUCCCGUUUACCGGAGGAACACUUUAUGUGCUACCAAACGUCACAACGUAAAUGGGUGAUUAUAAAGGUGCUCUACAGGUGUCUCCAAAGGUACUUGUUGGGUUGGCGUAUUUCGAGAUUAGGAUUUGUCACUCCGAUUGUCGGAGAGGUAUCUCUGGGCCCACUCGGUAAUGCACAUCACUAUAAGCCUUGCAAGCAUUGUGACUAAUGAAUUAGUUGCGGGAUGAUGUAUUACGGAACGAGUAAAGAGACUUGUCGAUAACGAGAUUGAACUAGGUAUCGAGAUACCGACGAUCGAAUCUCGGGCAAGUAACAUACCGAUGACAAAGGGAACAACGUAUGUUGUUAUGCGGUCUGACCGAUAAAGAUCUUCGUAGAAUAUUUGGGAGACAAUAUGGGCAUCCAGGUCCCGCUAUUGGUUAUUGACCGGAGAGGUGUCUCGGUCAUGUCUACAUAGUUCUCGAACCCGAAGGGUCCGCACGCUUAACGUUACGAUGACAAUUAUAUUACGAGUUUAUAUGUUUUGAUGUACCGAAGGUUUUUCGGAGUCCGGAAUGUGAUCACGGACAUGACGAGGAGUCUCGAAAUGGCCGAGACAUGAAGAUUGAUAUAUUGGAAGCCUAUAUUUGGAUAUCGGAAGUGUUCCGGGUGAAAUCGGGAUUUUACCGGAGUACCGGAGGGGUUACCGGAACCCCCCGGGGGUUAAUGGGCCAUAGUGGGCCUUAGUGGAGAAGAGGAGAGGCGGCCACAGCAAGGGCCGCACGCCCCUCCCCCCUAGUCCGAAUAGGACAAGGAGAGGGGGGCGGCGCCCCCCCUUUCCUUCUUCUCCUCCUCCUCUUUCCCCCUCCACUCCUAAUCCAACUAGGAAAAGGGAGGGAGUCCUACUCCCGUUGGGAGUAGGACUCCACCUGGCGCGCCCCUCCUGGCCGGCCGCACCUCCCCCUUGCUACUUUAUAUACGGGGCAGGGGGCACCCUAGAGACACAACAAUUGAUCGUUUGAUCUUUUAGCCGUGUGCGGUGCCCCCCUCCACCAUAGUCCACCUCGAUAAUACUGUAGCAGUGCUUAGGCGAAGCCCUGCAUCGGUAGAACAUCAUCAUCGUCACCACGCUGUCGUGCUGACGAAACUCUCCCUCAACACUCGGCUGGAUCGGAGUUCGAGGGACGUCAUCGGGCUGAACGUGUGCUGAACUCGGAGGUGCCGUGCGUUCGGUACUUGAUCAGUCGGAUCGUGAAGAUGUACGACUACAUCAACCGCGUUGUACUAACGCUUCCGCUUUCGGUCUACGAGGGUACGUGGACAACACUCUCCCCUCUCGUUGCUAUGCAUCACCAUGAUCUUGUGUGUGCGUAGGAAUUUUUUUGAAAUUACUACGUUCCCCAACACCUGCCCCCUAGGGCGCGCCCCCUGCCUCGUGGGCCCCCUGGAGCUCCACCGACCUCAACUCCAACUCUAUAUAUUCGUGUUCGGGGAGAAAAAAACCAGAGAGAAGGAUACAUCGCGUUUUACGAUACGGAGCCGCCGCCAAGCCCUAAACCCUCUCGGGAGGGCUAAUCUGGAGUCCGUUCAGGGCUCCGGAGAGGGGAAUCCGUCGCCAUCGUCAUCAUCAACCAUCCUCCAUCACCAAUUUCAUGAUGCUCACCGUCGUGCGUGAGUAAUUCCAUCAUAGGCUUGCUGGACGGUGAUGGGUUUGAUGAGAUUUAUCAUGUAAUCGAGUUAGUUUUGUUAGGGUUUGAUCCCUAGUAUCCACUAUGUUCUGAGAUUGAUGUUGCUAUGACUUUGCUAUGCUUAAUGCUUGUCACUAGGGCCCGAGUGCCAUGAUUUCAGAUCUGAACCUAUUAUGUUUUCAUGAAUAUAUAUCAGUUCUUGAUCCUAUCUUGCAAGUCUAUAAUCACCUACUAUGUGUUAUGAUCCGGCAACCCCGAAGUGACAAUAAUCGGGACCACUCCCGGUGAUGACCGUAGUUUGAGGAGUUCAUGUAUUCACUAUGUGUUAAUGCUUUGGUCCGGUACUCUAUUAAAAGGAGGCCUUAAUAUCCCUUAGUUUCCGUUAGGACCCCGCUGCCACGGGAGGGUAGGAAAAAGAUGGCAUGCAAGUUCUUUUCCAUAAGCACGUAUGACUAUAUUCGGAAUACAUGCCUACAUUAUAUUGAUGAAUUGGAGCUAGUUCUGUGUCACCCUAUGUUAUGACUAUUACAUGAUGAACUGCAUCCGGCAUAAUUCUCCAUCACCGAUCCAAUGCCUACGAGCUUUUCACAUAUUGUUCUUCGCUUAUUUACUUUUCCGUUGCUACUGUUACAAUCACUACAAAACCCAAAAAUAUUACUUUUGCUACCGUUACUGUUACUUCCAUACUACUUUGCUACUAAAUACUUUGCUGCAGAUACUAAGUUAUCCAGGUGUGGUUGAAUUGACAACUCAACUGCUAAUACUUGAGAAUAUUCUUUGGCUCCCCUUGUGUCGAAUCAAUAAAUUUGGGUUGAAUACUCUACCCUCGAAAACUGUUGCGAUCCCCUAUACUUGUGGGUUAUCAAGACUAUUUUCUGGCGCCGUUGCCGGGGAUCAUAGCUCUAUUCUUUGAGUUACUUGGGACUUAUAUCUGUUGGUCACUAUGAAGAACUUGAAAGACGAGAAAACAAAAAUUUAUCCGUCAACUACGAGGGGAGGUAAGGAACUGCCAUCUAGCUCUGCACUUGAUUCACCUUCUGUUUUGAGUAAGCUUGCGACACCUAAACCUGCUUCUGCUAUUAAUUCUGAUAUGCCACAUGUUAUUGAUGAUGCCACUUCUGCUACGCAUGAUACUUAUGAUGAAACUACUUCUAUGCUUGACACUACUAUGCCACUUGGUGAAUUUCUUGAUGAACAACUUGCUAGGGAUAGAGAGAAUGGAAUUAUUGAAACUGAUAAUAUUGAUGAAAGUGAUGAUGAAGAUUCUCCCCCUAGAUAUGAAUUGCCUAUUGUGCCUAAGGGUUGUGUUAUGGAUGAAGAAACUGCUAGGGACUUUCUUGCUUGCAAUGAUAGAAGUGAUCUUAAGAAAUUAUUAGCUAAGCUGAAAGAAAAAACUUUGAAUGCUAGAAUGAAAUAUGGUCCUGCUUAUGCUACUUCACCUAUCUUUGUUACUGAUAAGGAUUAUGAAUUCUCUAUUGAUCCUGAUAUAAUUACUUUGGUUGAAUCUGAUCCUUUUUUAUGGCUAUGAAUCUGAUACGUCUCCAACGUAUCUAUAAUUUUUGAUUGUUCCAUGCUAUAUUAUAUUCUGUUUUGGAUGUUUAAUGGGCUUUAUUAUACACUUUUAUAUUAUUUUUGGGACUAACCUAUUAACCGGAGGCCCAGCCCAAAUUGCUGUUUUUUUGCCUAUUUCAGUGUUUCGCAGAAAAAGAAUAUCAAACGGAGUCCAAACGGAAUGAAACCUUCAGGAACGUGAUUUUCGGAACAAACGUGAUCCAGAGGACUUGGAGUCCACGUCAAGAAAUCAACGAGGAGAGCACGAGGCAGGGGGCGCGCCUACCCCCCCAGGCGCACCCUCCACCCUCGUGGGGCCCACGUUGCUCCACCGACGUACUUCUUCCUCCUAUAUAUACGUACGUACCCCCAAACCAUCAGAGGCAUCCACGAAAAUCUAAUUCCACCGCCGCAACCUUCUGUACCCGUGAGAUCCCAUCUUGGGGCCUUUUCCGGCGUCCUGCCGGAGGGGGCAUUGAUCAUGGAGGGCUUCUACAUCUACACCAUAGCCUCUCCGAUGAUGUGUGAGUAGUUUACCUCAGACCUUCGGGUCCAUAGUUAUUAGCUAGAUGGCUUCUUCUCUCUCUUUGGAUCUUAAUACAAAGUUCUCCACGAUUCUCGUGGAGAUCUAUUCGAUGUAAUCUUCUUUUGCGGUGUGUUUAUCGGGACCGAUGAAUUGUGGGUUUAUGAUCAAGUUUAUCUAUGAACAAUAUUUGAAUCUUCUCUGAAUUCUUUUAUGUAUGAUUGGUUAUCUUUGCAAGUCUCUUCGAAUUAUCAAUUUGGUUUGGCCUACUAGAUUGAUCUUUCUUGCAAUGGGAGAAGUGCUUAGCUUUGGGUUCAAUCUUGCGGUGUCCUUUCCCAGUGACAGCAGGGGCAGCAAGGCACGUAUUGUAUUGUUGCCAUCGAGGAUAACAAGAUGGGGUUUAUAUCAUAUUGCAUGAGUUUAUCCCUCUACAUCAUGUCAUCUUGCUUAAAGCGUUACUCUGUUCUUAUGAACUUAAUACUCUAGAUGCAUGCUGGAUAGCGGUCGAUGUGUGGAGUAAUAGUAGUAGAUGCAGGCAGGAGUCAGUCUACUUGUCACGGACGUGAUGCCUAUAUACAUGAUCAUACCUAGAUAUUCUCAUAACUAUGCUCAAUUCUAUCAAUUGCUCGACAGUAAUUUGUUUACCCACCGUAAUACUUAUGCUCUUGAGAGAAGCCACUAGUGAAACCUAUGGCCCCCGGGUCUAUUUUCCAUCAUAUUAAUCUCCCGUCAACAAGCUAUUUCUGGAGCCGUUUAUUUUGCUUUCUUUACUUUUAGUCUUUGUCAUAAAAAUACCAAAAAUAUUAUCUUAUCAUAUCUAUCAGAUCUCACUCUCGUAAGUGACCGCGAAGGGAUUGACAACCCCUUUAUCGCAUUGGUUGCGAGGUUCUUAUUCGUUUGUGUAGGUGCGAGGGACUCGAGCGUAGCCUCCUACUGGAUUGAUACCUUGGUUCUCAAAAACUAAGGGAAAUACUUACGCUACUUUACUGCAUCACCCUUUCCUCUUCAAGGGAAAAACCAACGCAGUGCUCAAUAGGUAGCAAGAAGGAUUUCUGGCGCCGUUGCCGGGAAGGCUUACACAAGGUCAAGUCAAGAUUUGGACUCCCGACAACGAGCCAUUUCUGGCGCCGUUGCCGGGGAGUCUACGCAAAAGUCAACAUACCAAGUACCCAUCACAAACUCUUAUCCCUCGCAUUACAUUAUUUGCCAUUUGCCUCUCGUUUUCCUCUCCCCCACUUCACCCUUGCCGUUUUAUUCGCCCUUCCUCCGUUCAAUCUUGUGUUACCAUGUGCCUUUCUUUUGCUUGCAUCUUCGCUUGCUAAGAGUUUAUGGAUCCUCAUCCACUUGCUAAUCUCUUUAUGAGAUCCAAUUAUGAUGAACCUAUUGCUAGUGAGUUGAGUGCACUAGAUUAUCUUUAUGAGGUUUUGCUUGAAAUUCGUGAAUCUGAAAAUUGUGAUGAAGUACUUUAUGAAGCGAUUCACGAUAGAUCUUUGAAUAAAAAGCAUGAUUGCAAUGAUUUUAUUAUAAAUUUUAUUGAUGUAAAUUAUGCUAAUAAUAUGCAAAACCCUAAGCUUGGGGAUGCUAGUUUUGCUAUGUCCUCUACUUGUUGCAAUGAUCAUGAUUGGGGUGAUUCUUCUUACAAUCUUGAAAAUUUAUUUAAGCCCCAUGAUGAAUAUGAGAUUAAUAAUAGUUUUUGCAAUAUUAUUGAAAGUUGGUUUGGAAGAGUGUCAACUUUAGAUCCCACAUAUUUGGAGAAUGUUCAAUCUUAUGAAUUUUUUGAUAAAAGUGGGUUUGGAGAGAUCAUGACCUUAGUUAAUGUUAAUCCCACUGUUUUGGAAGAGUGUCAACUUUGCAUGCAUGUGGAUCAUGUUGAAAAUAUUUUAUGUGAUAGCCAUUUUUUUGAAUUUUCUUAUGAUCCCACAUAUAAUUAUUAUGAGAGAGGAAAAUAUGAUUGUAGAAAUUUUCAUGUUACUAAAUUACCUCUCGUUAUGUUGAGAUUGCUAUCGUUUCUUUCCGUUUCCUUGCAUGUGCUAGUUUUUGCUUGCUAUGAUAAUUUGUUUGCAUAUAAGAUGCCUAUGCAUAGGAAGUAUGUUAGACUUAGAUGUGUUUUUCACGUGUUUCAUGAUGCUCUCUUUGUGCUUCAAAUCUUGUCUUUCAUGUGAGCAUCAUUAAAAUUAUCAAUGCCUAGCUAGGGGCGUUAAACGAUAGCGCUUGUUGGGAGGAAACCCAAUUUUAUUUUUAGUUUUUUGCUUUUUGCUUCUAUUUAGGAAUAAAUAUUUGAUCUAGCCUCUGGUUAGACUUGUUUUUUGUUUAAAUUAGUGUUUGUGCCAAGUUAACCUAUAGGAUCUUCUUGGAUGAUAGUUAUUUGAUCUUGCUGAAAAUUCCAGAAACUUUCUAUUCAUGAAAACAAUUGUUAAAACUUACCUGAACGUGACAUAAUAUAGAUUCCAAUUGCAGCAGAUCAAUAUACAAAUUAUUUAGGUCGUCCUAUUUUGUCUGAAUUUUUAGAGUUCUAUAAGUUUGCGUUAGUUACAGAUUACUACAGACUGUUCUGUUUUUGAUAGAUUCUGUUUUUCGUGUGUUGUUUGCUUAUUUUGAUGAAUCUAUGGUGUGACGCCCCCGGUUCAAUCGUACACUAAUCAUGCACGCAAACGUGUACGAUCAAGAUCAGGGACUCACGGGAAGAUAUCACAACACAACUCUAAAACAUAAAUAAGUCAUACAAGCAUCAUAAUAUAAGCCAGGGGCCUCGAGGGCUCGAAUACAAGUGCUCGAUCAUAGACGAGUCAGCGGAAGCAACAAUAUCUGAGUACAGACAUAAGUUAAACAAGUUUGCCUUAAGAAGGCUAGCACAAACUGGGAUACAGAUCGAAAGAGGUGCAUGCCUCCUGCCUGGGAUCCUCCUAAACUACUCUUGGUCGUCGUCAGCGGACUGCACGUAGUAGUAGGCACCUCCAGUGUAGUAGGAGUCGUCGUCGACGGUGGCGUCUGGCUCCUGGGCUCCGGCAUCUGGUUGCGACAACCAGGUUGAAGGGAAAGGGGAAAAGAGGGAGAAAAGCAACCGUGAGUACUCAUCCAGAGUACUCGCAAGCAAGGAGCUACACUACAUAUGCAUGGGUAUAUGUGUAAAGGGCCAUAUCGGUGGACUGAACUGCAGAAUGCCAGAAUAAGAGGGGGAUAGCUAAUCCUGUCGAAGACUAUGCUUCAUGCCACCUCCAUCUUGCAGCAUGUAGAAGAGAAUAGAUGGUAAGUUCACCAAGUAGCAUCGCAUAGCAUAAUCCUACCCGGCGAUCCCCUCCUCGUCACCCUGUUAGAGAGCGAUCACCGGGUUAUAUCUGGUACUUGGAAGGGUGUGUUUUAUUAAGUAUCCGGUUCUAGUUGUCAUAAGAUCAAGGUACAACUCCGGGUCGUCCUUUUACCGAGGGACACGACUAUUCGAAUAGAUAAACUUCCCUGCAGGGGUGCACCACAUUUCCCAACACGCUCGAUCCCAUUUGGCCGGACACACUUUUCUGGGUCAUGCCCGGCCUCGGAAGACCAACACGUCGCAGCCCCACCUAGGCUCAACAGAGAGGUCAGCACGCCGGUCUAAAUCCUAUGCGCGCAGGGGUCUGGGCCCAUCGCCCAUUGCACACCUGCACGUUGCGUACGCGGCCGGAAGCAGACCUAGCCCCCUCGCGCGCCCAGAGGGGAAGUAGCGGGCGGCGCCGGCGGAGGGCUGCGCACGCGGGAGAGCGCUGGGGGGCAACGCCGCGAGCGAGAGGGGAGCUGCGGGCGCGUGGGCCAGCAAGGCCACCGCAGCGCUGGCAAGGCGGGGCCACGCGCGCGGCGAGNNNNNNNNNNNNNNNNNNNNNNNNNNNNNNNNNNNNNNNNNNNNNNNNNNNNNNNNNNNNNNNNNNNNNNNNNNNNNNNNNNNNNNNNNNNNNNNNNNNNNNNNNNNNNNNNNNNNNNNNNNNNNNNNNNNNNNNNNNNNNNNNNNNNNNNNNNNNNNNNNNNNNNNNNNNNNNNNNNNNNNNNNNNNNNNNNNNNNNNNNNNNNNNNNNNNNNNNNNNNNNNNNNNNNNNNNNNNNNNNNNNNNNNNNNNNNNNNNNNNNNNNNNNNNNNNNNNNNNNNNNNNNNNNNNNNNNNNNNNNNNNNNNNNNNNNNNNNNNNNNNNNNNNNNNNNNNNNNNNNNNNNNNNNNNNNNNNNNNNNNNNNNNNNNNNNNNNNNNNNNNNNNNNNNNNNNNNNNNNNNNNNNNNNNNNNNNNNNNNNNNNNNNNNNNNNNNNNNNNNNNNNNNNNNNNNNNNNNNNNNNNNNNNNNNNNNNNNNNNNNNNNNNNNNNNNNNNNNNNNNNNNNNNNNNNNNNNNNNNNNNNNNNNNNNNNNNNNNNNNNNNNNNNNNNNNNNNNNNNNNNNNNNNNNNNNNNNNNNNNNNNNNNNNNNNNNNNNNNNNNNNNNNNNNNNNNNNNNNNNNNNGGAGGAGGACGGGGAGGACGUGCGGCGCAGGGGAAGACAUGGAGGCAGUCCGGCGAGGUGGCGGUCCAGCGAGGCGGCCUCUGGCGGCGGCGUCGAGCGGCGGGGGCGGAGUCGGGUCCCGAUGCCCCGAUCCGAUCUGGAUCGGGGGGAGAGGGAGAGGCGAGUGGGGCGAAGUGGGGUGACCGGGGGUUAGGGUUUCGGGACGGGGAGGGUAAGGCGAGUGGGGGGGGCCAGCUUGGGCCAGUGGGCUGGCCGGCUGGGCCGUCUGGCAUGGUUGGCCAAGGGGGCUUUUUUUCCUUUUAUUUUGUUUUCUGGUUUUCUUUUCUUUUUAUUCUUUUUCCUUUUCUGUUUUAUUUUAGUUACACUUUAUUCUUAGUUUAGUAAAAUAUGACAAUAGCUCCAAAUUAGUGUUUCAAAACAACCCACUACCCUAAAAAGUUUUACCUCAAAAUAAAAUAGUUUAUGAUUUUAUAAAAUAUCAAAGGCAUUUAUUUAAUAGUUUUACCUACUUUUUUAAUCAUUUAAGUGCAUUUAAACCUUUUAUAAAAAUGUGGUUUCUCCACAAUAAUUACCUAUGCAUUAUUUGGCAACACCCCAACAUUUUAGUUUUAAUAUUUGAAAAUCUUUACCGUUUGACUUUAAUUCAAUUUUGAAUUUGAAUCGGUUUUGAACUAACCCGAGAUUAACUACAGUGACAGAGGUGACGUGGCAUCAUUAGCAGGGAAUUACUGUAGUCUAAUUAUCCGGGCGUCACAAUUCUCCUCCACUACAAGAAAUCUUAUCCCGAGAUUUUAAGAAGGGGAGUAAGGGGGAAAGGUCUGGUUACGAUAUUCUAACGGAUCUUCUCGUCUUGGUUGAGCUUCUCGAAGAGGUCUUUCCACUAUGUUGAUGUCUUCACUUCUCUGCUUCAGGUCAUCAUGAUGAAGCCGGCAUCCUUUCUUAAGGAUCUCCAUCGUACUUACGAAUAGGAAAGGGGCAGCUUGACAACGAUAGAACGCUACCAGGGGUAAUCACCGGGGGUUAUCCCAUGAAUGAACAUAUGAGUAUCUCUCAAGUUGAACAAAUGAAACACAGCGAGAGCAAAGUAGGACAGUGCAAUAAGAAGUUUCGAGCGGAUAGGCAAUCGUUCAUUGCCUGAAACAGAGUGUGAAAGGGGUUCAGAGCAACGGGAAUAAGUAUUGUGUCCGAUACCAGAAUUGAUCACUAGGAAGGUGGCUCGCAAAUUACAUACGAAACGAAGCGCAAGGGAUAACUUCGAACAGGGAUGUACAGGAGAGUCAGGUUUCGAUCCUGUGGAACUGUGGGUUAUGGGCCCACAAUGUGGGUUAAAAUUAGAAAGGGGGCUGACAUGUUGCACGGUCAUGAUAGCAAGGCAUGUCAGAGGGUAGCCUGCCAGGUAUGUUGGCAACAACGUUGGUACCAAGGGCGAGGGACGAAGAGAACCAUUUUCCUGCUCGUUGAACGAGGCGGACCAAUAGGCAAGGUUCUCGUCCAUCGGUGGCUACCGGAAUGUCAUCAACAAUAGUAACAGGUCUUAUUGACAGAGUAGUACACCGAGGUGUUUACAUAAGCAGUGAAUUAUUACUGCUUAGAUCAUAUAGAUCACAAGAAAGAUUAAAUAAAAUAAUGGAAAGGAAAAGGGUGAUCAUCAGAUUAAACAGAACAAUGGAAAGGAAAAUGUGUUUAAACACAUAUUUCAAGGGUAUAUCCUUCCCAAGGACAAGCUGAGCAUGAUAUCCAUGAUAGGAUAUAAUGUAGAAAACUCUUUAGGUAGGGGAGAGAAAUUUCAUGACAUUACCCAUACAACGGUGUUUGGAUAAUUGAGCAAGAAUCAUUUAGCAUUGGGCUUCAAAUGUUCUUGUAAAAAAAAUCAGAGUACCACAGACAUGCUGCGAGAUAGCAUUGGCAUGGUCUUCAAGCAAAGGUCAGACUUUGGAUACAAAGGAUCCAUCAGGAACAACUUGUAGAAUAACUUUUACAAUUUCCUCAUGGAAGAAUGGAUAACCUUGCUGAAAGGAAGAACUAUAACAAUAGGUCCUCCGGUCAAGUGUGCUAGGCAUGACAUCACCUUACCGGGUCAUAUAAAGACCAAUGUUAUAACUCUUGAAAAUAUGCUCCAACCAUCACAGCUGACCGAGACUCAGAUCUGAUAGGUGUUAGGAAACCUCAGACUCAGGAUGCCUGAGAAGAAAAGGUGCCAGACAAAUUGAUGGGAUGACACUGUAAGAUUCUCAGGAAAUGAACUAUGAAGUGAUUUCCGUUAACAAGAGUUCAUCAUUAACCCAAGGAGAGGACAAGGAGGUGGCUGAUGGGCUAAGGACAAUUCAUCGAGAUUUCCAAAAGAUGGAUUUCCACAAUUAUGUGAACAAGGAGAUAACACUUGUCAAUUCAAAUGAUAUAAUGUUGUAUGCUCUAGGAAAACAUACACCAUCAAUCAUUAGUCGAAAGGUGUGCCCGAAAUAUGACCUUAGGCAGCAAGAUCAAUGUUAGAGUGAUGAUUCAAUAACCAACAGUCUAAGAACGAACUGUUGAUCGUUAACUUCAAAGCAAUAGGGUUGCUAGAAGUACAGAACUCAAACAACAUCGUUAGCAUAUUGGUAUCCUAGUUAAAAACAACACUGGGACCAAGGAAGAAUGGUGAUGGUGAGAAGUAUCAUCAUACCGAGAAUUUCUAAGAGGUGGAGAAAUGCUCACGACAUUCUUGACAUCAAAGAUGGUAAUACUCCACGGUAGAACAUAACAUAAGUUGGAUAGCAAGGAACUCAAGGUACAACACAAAACAAGAACAAGUUUUUAUGUUGGGGGGGAAUGCAAUAAUGUUGUCGAUGAUAACCCAAACCAUCGAGGGCAAAGGAUGGUAUUUCUCAUCAAAAUUCGAUAGAUCUCUUGGAAGAGCUCAGAAUGUUGAUGAUAUUCACGACACAUUUGUCGCGAGAGUUCAUGAAGAUGUAAUCGAUCGGCGACGACAUCAAGUCAAAGGAAUGAUGAAGCGAAAGGUUAUUGGAACCAAGGGUACAACACAAACUCGAAACCAAGCUUGUUGUUCAAGGCGAAAUGAUAUGACGAGGAGGAUCGACGUAAGGUUAGUUCAUCGUUGAAAAUUGUGCUCCGGGAAGAAGGACCAGGUAGCACAGUUAAAAUCGUCACGACAAGGAUAUAGCCAAGUAGGCUAGGAAUGACGUGACCAAGUUCAAACUUGUAAGUAAUGAAGGUUACCAAGAGUUGUUUAAUCGCGGUGCGGACUCGAGUCAGUUAUCGGUGUCUUUGAGUGUUUAAUAACUCAGAGCCCGUGAAAAAUUGGAAUCAGUGAGAAUGUAGCACUUGAUGAAAAAAUCAUAAGAAGUUAUGCAGUUCCAUGAUAAUCUCGAGAUACCAGGGGGUAAUACUCGACGACAGAUCAAAGUAGAGGUUGGACUAGGGUAUUGCUCUGCAGAAGACAAGUGCUCAAACUUGCACGAGAAAUGGAAUCAAGGAGAAACAUGGUAGGAACCAUGUCCACAGAUACAAGAUGAACUUAUAACAAGGGGAUAAUUAUUUUAAGAGAAGCUUCCAUGAUAAGGUAUACAUCGUGUCCAUGGGCAUGAACACAAAGUUCAAGGUCGACUCCCACUUCUUUAAUGCAUAACCUUUCAUUCACUUCUCGUCUUCAAAGAAGUUGUAGGGUAGAAAAUUAUCUGGUAAAACACCAGAAGGGUAUAACUUGUGAAAACUUUCAGGUUCAUACGGUUUUAGGGAAGGUAUAGGUUCAACCCAUCGGGGCAUCUUAGGAACAUAUACUAUGAACUUCAGGAGAAAAUAACACAAGCUUGAAAGCAGAGCAUCGUUGGCCAAUUCAAAGAAUAGGAUUUACCAUUGGCAUUAUGUAUCAGGGAAAGAACUUCCAACGUGAUUGAAUAUGAAGGACAUUGUCGGAUAAAAUCCAACAAAGGACUUGAUGGUCCACAAAGGAUCUGAUGUGAGUAUCGGUACUCAACUAGAAGAGGAAAGAAUGCAAAUGCAACAGCUUAUGGAAUCAUAUGAAUAAUUCGAAGCUUAAAUGCAAAGGAAUUAUGAUUCCAAAUCGAAGGAUCAGAAGCAGAUGCUCCGAUCAAGGAUGGAUAAGUUGAAUAGACUUAGGGGCACAAUCGACGGCAAUUUGAUUGGUUGAGAACUAGCUCCUAUUCAAAAUGACAUCUGAGCCGAAGGGAUGAUUUCUAGGACCUGAUUGAGGAUUGCGAGCAUUCACAACAUAUUGAAUCAACAGACCCAAAUGAUAAUGACAAGGGAUGUCAAUCAGAUUACGAGACUUAUGGUAUUAACCAUAAUGCAAGCAAGCAAGAAUUUCAAGAGCAAUAGGCUGCUCAAGAUUUCCAGAAAAUUGAAUGGUAUUUCGUGGACUUUUGUGAAACACAUGAACAACUAGGAAUGAGCGGAUACUCGAUAAGCACAAGGAAUUAUCCGUAAGGGUAUUCAUGAGGCAAGAACUGUAUAGCAGUAAGCUCAAAGGAUUCUUGGAACAAUGGAGAGCGGUUCGGGGUAUCUUGUAUUAACAAGAUCAACUUGGAAUAAAACUAAGAAUGACGGGUGUAAGUAUUUAUCCAUAGGGAUAGAUCAGUGGUAGGGAAUUGCAAAAGCAACGAGCACAAAGUCUCAAGAACAUCGGAGAGUAUCUUCGAAAUCCUUCGGUGCACCAAGCAAUCAUCUGGAGUGAGGGGCUCUGCAGGAGGAAGUAGUUACGAGAACCUAGAGUCAGAGUUAGUAAAAUCAUUUCACCCGAAUAGAAGAGAGGUCAGAGUCCCAGAGUAUAGGUCGAGGAAUAAAAGAUCCUAAUACCACCCAAUGGCAACGUGGGCCCGUAAGCCACACAACCAUGUUAGUAAAAGUUUUUGCAAUGUCUAGACUCGACUUCGGCCAAGGAGUUUGGAAGGGGGAUUCCUACAGGCAGUCGGCUCUGAUACCAACUUGUGACGCCCCCAGUUCAAUUGUACACUAAUCAUGCACGCAAACGUGUACGAUCAAGAUCAUGGACUCACGGGAAGAUAUCACAACACAACUCUAAAACAUAAAUAAGUCAUACAAGCAUCAUAAUACAAGCCAGGGACCUCGAGGGCUCGAAUACAAGUGCUCGAUCAUAGACGAGUCAGCGGAAGCAACAAUAUCUGAGUACAGACAUAAGUUAAACAAGUUUGCCUUAAGAAGGCUAGCACAAACUGGGAUACAGAUCGAAAGAGGCGCAGGCCUCCUGCCUGGGAUCCUCCUAAACUACUCUUGGUCGUCGUCAGCGGACUGCACGUAGUAGUAGGCACCUCCAGUGUAGUAGGAGUCGUCGUCGACGGUGGCGUCUGGCUCCUGGGCUCCGGCAUCUGGUUGCGACAACCAGGUUGAAGGGAAAGGGGGAAAAGAGGGAGAAAAGCAAUCGUGAGUACUCAUCCAAAGUACUCGCAAGCAAGGAGCUACACUACAUAUGCAUGGGUAUAUGUGUAAAGGGCCAUAUCGGUGGACUGAACUGCAGAAUGCCAGAAUAAGAGGGGGGUAGCUAAUCAUGUCGAAGACUACGCUUCAGGCCACCUCCAUCUUGCAGCAUGUAGAAGAGAAUAGAUGGUAAGUUCACCAAGUAGCAUCGCAUAGCAUAAUCCUACCCGGCGAUCCCCUCCUCGUCGCCCUGUUAGAGAGCGAUCACCGGGUUAUAUCUGGCACUUGGAAGGGUGUGUUUUAUUAAGUAUCCGGUUCUAGUUGUCAUAAGGUCAAGGUACAACUCCGGGUUGUCCUUUUACCGAGGGACACGGCUAUUCGAAUAGAUAAACUUCCUUGCAGGGGCGGACCACAUUUCCCAACACACUCGAUCCCAUUUGGCCGGACACACUUUCCUUGGUCAUGCCCAGCCUCGGAAGAUCAACACGUCGCAGCCCCACCUAGGCUCAACAGAGAGGUCAGCACGCCGGUCUAAAUCCUAUGCGCGCAGGGGUCUGGGCCCAUCGCCCAUUGCACACCUGCACGUUGCGUACGCGGCCGGAAGCAGACCUAGCCCCCUUAAUACAAGCGCGAGCUUACGGUCCAAUGCGGCGCGCGCCACUCAGUCGCUGACGUCAAAAAGAGCUUCGGCUGAUACCACGACGCCGAGUGCCCAUAACUAUUCCCGCGUAGUUGGUUAGUGCGUAUAGACCAAAUGGCCAGACUCAGAUCAAAUACCAAGAUCUCGUUAAGCGUGUUAAGUAUCCGUGAACGCCGACCAGGGCCAGGCCCACCUCUCUCCUAGGUGGUCUCAACCUGCCCUGUCGCUCCACCACAAAAUAACAGUCGGGGGCCGUCAGGAACCCAGGCCCACCUCUACCGGGAUGGAGCCACCUGUCCUUUCAGCCCCCUCAUCAGAAUCACUUGUGGGUACUCAACGAGCUGACCCGACUUUAGUCACCACAUGUGUCGUGGAAUUGCCACGGCAGAUGUCCUCGAGCUAGGACUUAGUCGUGGAGCCAUCGCAACUAGGAAGCUUGAAGGGGUUAAUGCGGGACAAGGAACACGAGGGUUAUACUGGUUGGGCCCCUUACGGUGACGGUAAAAGCCUACGUCCAGUUUGAGGUGGUAUUGAUUAGGGUUACGAUCACCAGGGAGCUAAACCGCUGUGCCUGGCUCUCGAUGAGAUUGUUCUUGUCCCUAAACCGCUGCCGGGUCAUCCCUUUAUAUAGGGAGGCUGACGCCCAACAGCCCUCAGAGUCCCGGCCGGCUCAUAAGAGUGUCCGGCUCGGACUCUCAACUAUACUUGCCUUACACUACAAGUUCUACCAUAAUAAUGAUUGUAACUACGGGCCUUAAGCCAUAUCCGGGUCUUAAGCCCAUCUCUGGCCCAUCGUCUUCAAGCUUGGCUCCGGGCUUCUGGCAACGACCAUAUGAGUAACCCGGCCCCUCCUAGCGGGUGACUCUAAGGUCUAUAUCCUCAACAUUAGGCCCCAGAUUGAUUUGAGCCGGCUCAUGUCAAUCUUCAAUUCUCUCGACAGAAAAAUCUCCGGCUUACCAUUCGUGUGAAGGCCAUAACCCGGCGUGACGUCAUCCUUUGGACUCCGGAUAAUCCGCCGUGACGUCAUCGUCCAUUAAGCCCGUUUUUUACUCCGCCAGAUCCGCAACGGAUCUUUUCCUUUACUGUCAUCCCGAAAAUCAAGGCGUUGUGAGGGGAGAUAACCACGCCACGGUCUCCUUGAUUCUCACGCCCGCUUUAUGAGCUCGCCUUAUAAAUAGGUCGGCCCGACGGGCUCUUCUCACGCUUCUUCCUCUACCGUCUUCUUCCUCUCACUCUCCCGUACUGCUCGAGCUCCGCCGCCGUCGCCGCCGCGGGUCUCCUCGUCGUCACCAGCUCAGGCCGCUGCAUCACCCUGAUCUGACCAGAGAAAACGCGGCGACCUCCGCGACUCUUCCGCACCGGUAAGUCCUCGACACUUCAUAGGGUAGAUCCGCAUUAGGGCUCUGGAGUUCAUCCUCUGUUCUUCGUAGUUCAUCGCGUCCCUCGGUGGAUUCGACUUUUACUGCUCCUUUUUGAUCUUAGCUCUGCACAUAACCACUGCGGUAGAUGUUUAAGAUCCAUUUCACACGCAAGUAGCCUUCUUUGUACUGCAUAAGAACUUUGUUCGAACCCAAGAACUUCUCCUGCCUCCGUUUUUAGGUCUAGGAAUUUUUCCUUUUAGUCGACCAUUUUGAUCCAAAUUUUUCACUGCGAUGUGUGAAACCUGUUUUACCACACUUAGUAAAAAUUGCAAUCGUUGAAUCCCGGCGGUUUACAGUUCCGGUUUAAAGAGAACCAUGCUUCGUAGAAUCCUCCGGCUUAGUUGUGAUAAGGCCGUAGAUAAUCAAUUUAUUCUGAAUGCCCCUGCGGCUUAAAUAACCCGCUGUACUUAGGUAUAUACCAUUAGUCCCCUUCAUAAACCGCCACCUUAGCUUUGAACUGCAGAUCUCCUCCGGCUUAUCAUUAACCCGGACGUUUUUCCUUUUUGUCAUAGACUGCCGACUUUCACCAUGCCUCCCAAAGCUCCCAUUACUUGCAACUGGAUGAGGUCCAAUGUCACCAACGAGACCCUAGCUGAUUUUGUUAAGUCAGGAUAUCUGCCCAAGAAAGACAUCAUGUCCUACUGUGCCCCUGACCCGUCAGAAGAGAGGCCACAGCCAAAGGAUGGGGAGGUAGUGAUUUUUGCGGAUCACAUGAGCCGGGGCUUCGCACCGCCCGGCUCAAAGUUUUUUAGGGACGUGCUAAACUUCUUCGACUUGCGACCUCAAGACAUUGGACCCAACUCAGUGUCCAACAUCUGCAACUUCCAAGUCUUCUGCGAGGUAUACCUUGGAGAAGAACCUAGUCUGCUGCUCUUCAGAGAGCUUUUUUACUUAAACCGCAAGAAUGAGUGCGCCAAUGGGCCAAGUCUGGAGUUAGGUGGUAUCUCCAUCCAGCGGCGUAGGGACUGCCUUUUCCCUUAUGCAGAGCCGCCGAGCCACCCAAAGGACUGGAACAUGACUUGGUUCUACUGCCAAGAUACGUCCCCGGCUGAUGAAAGGCCGCUGCCCGGCUUUCGCCCAACACGUCUGGAGCCGACUCACCCACUGUCGGACAAGCUGACUCAAGCGGAGCGCCAGCCUCUGCUCCCCACUAUCAACAAGAUCAAGGCUCUCCUAGGCAAUGGUCUGAACAGAAUCGACCUGGUCCGUGUCUGGAUCUCAUGGAGGGUGAUCCCAUUGAGCCGCCGCCCCGGCUUAAUGCGUGAGUACACAGGACGAAAGGAUGACCCUCAGAGACACAGCCGCAAUGAUCUUCCAGAAGACGUUUCCGAGGAGAUGACCAAGGCUCUUUUAAACGAGAGCCUGGCAGACUGUGGAAGGACCGGGUUAGCCCCCUUCUGCAAUACCAACCCAGCCCCAGCGGUAAGCCGCUGACUUUAGCUUCUUAUCUUCUUCUGCAUGUAACCUUCAUCUGAACCGUUUUAAGAAUUCAUCAUCGUAUUUUUCAGGCUGAUGAUAAGUUCUGGCGGGUCAAAUACGACCAUGAGGCGGCCAAGAAGGCCAGGAAGGCGAAGAAAGCCGCCAAGAAAGCCGCCCCUCGCAAGAAAGGAAGCAGGCCUACUGCUUCGGAGCUGAUGCAAUUAAGCGACAGCUCCGAGUCAGAGGCAACCCCUAAGCCUUUAAGUCCUUGCUGUAUUUUUUGUUUGUUGCUGUCCGCCUUAUCAACACUUGCUCAUUGACAGGAUGACACCGGGCCAGUAACCCGGUGGUUGAAGAGGUAAUGUCACUUUCCUCCGAAUCGGAGCCCUUGCCAAAGCUGAAAGUCCGAAGGGUAACUUGGAAAGUAAGCUUUUCCCAUCCUUUAGCUUAUCAAGAUCCUCAAUUUAUUUUGAAGCGACAGGUUCAUGAAAGCCGGCGUCACACCCGGACCAACAAGGACACCGACCUCUCAGCCGGGUUACCCGACGCAACAAGGAAGCGUCGAACUGAGGUUAUUUCCCACUUGUACCCCUUUCAUCCGUUGGCGGGUGUUAUCCGUCAGCCACUCAACUCUUCUGACUCCAAUUAUCAGGAGACCUCCCCCUCUUCGGGCGACUCUAUGCAGUCGAGUCUUCCGACUUUCAAGACCGCGCCCGGGUAAUAACAACCAUCUCAUAUUAUACUUGUCUGUACUUACUCUUUUUCUGCUUAACGUUUCUGUCCUUUCAGCGCCCAGGCCAAGCUCACCAAGAGAGCGAAGAAGACCAAGUCAGCCGGAGUGCCGGAUUUACCUGAACCAGAGGUGACGGCUCAAGAACCGCCAGCUGCCUCCGCCCCCGAAGCCACCAUUCCAACCGACAAGGCGCCUGAGGCCGCUGCCCCAACUACCAAGGCAACUACAGAAGCUUCGGUUAACCCGGAGGCCUCCGGCUCAGCUCCACCAGCAGACGACCCGGACGUGGUAAUCACCCGGACGGAGUUUGUUGAGCCGGGGAGACCGACCGUGCUGGCCAAGUGCUCCGCUAAGGGGAAGUUGCUGCAGCCCCACCGGGUGAAUCUGGACCUCUCUAACUACACCAACCUGAGCAUUGGAGAGCUUGUCUCUGGCUAUAUCAGCCAAGUACACAAGAGCCGGGACGCAGAGGUCGCCAUGGUGAACCAGAUCCAGCAAAAAUCUGAGGUAUCAUUCUGCUGUCUUCUUACUUACUGCAUAAUUACCUUUGCCAUGCUAGCCCCCAAGUCAACGACUUAUGAUUGAAUAUGUUGUAGACUUAGGUUCCGGCUUACUCCAUUGAGCCGGCAGUUUGUAGAUAGAUACGUUCAAUAUGCAUUAGCCCCCAAGUGCCAAGUGUCUUUGCUUGGAAAACGCUUGGGACUUAUAUAGUAACUGUUAAUAACCCGGAAAUAUAUGCAGGCUGUUGGCAAGAAGCUAGAGGCGGACCUUGCGGAUCUCAAGAACCGGCUGAAGACGCAAGAGAUGGAGACCCGGAAGGCAAACGCCAAGUUUGUAUCCAGCAUCGUUGCUCAAGAGAAGCUGAAGACGGAGUUUGAUGCUGAGCGGAAAGCCUGGGCCGAAGAGAAGGCCGCACUGGUGACCCGGGCUGAACAGGCGGAGAAGGCUCUCUCCGAGAAGACCGCCGAGCUCUCUGGCCUAAAGCGCCAGGUUUCCCAGAUGGUGGCCGCCAUCUUCGGUAAGUCGCCUUACCGGCUUUCAUCAAGUUUAGAAUGUUUAUAUCUCAUGAUUCAUCCUUGUCGCCGGCUUAUCCGAUUCUGUUAAACAGGUCCCAGAAGUGCUAACCUCAACCAGAGCGUGGUCACCAAGUUAAAGGCCGUGUAUACCCUGGUGGAGCAGCUCUACACCGGGUCACAGCGUGCCUUAGCUGUGGUGGCCCUAUCCAACGAGGUGCCGACUCACCUGGCAGAAGUCCUGCGCCGGCUCGCCGUUCUGCCUCAGCGGAUCCAAGAGCUGCGACGGGCCUCUGCGAGAGCCGGAGCGAUCGCUGCGCUGAGCCGGGCCAAGGCAUUCUUGCCGGAGUUAGACCCGGCGGACAUCGCCCUUGGCUAUCCAAGCCUGAAGGAAGACGGCUCAGCUUUCGAUCAGAAGGACUUCGCAGCUUGCGUGAAGGCUAUACGCCCAGUGGCCACCCUUAUCGGGAAUGACACAGAUCUGACCAAGUACCAGCCGGGUUAUGAUGCGGAGAAUCAGAGGAUUCCAACCCCUCGCUAUGAAGCCCUCAACUUGAUCCCGCCGGCUCGUCAGCACACCUUCGCCCCGGAGAUUGACCCGGCCGGGUUAAUUGACGAGGAAGCCCAAUUCGAAGCUCUCAGCGGCAUCGACUGGAAGUCAUCAACCUUCCAGGUCUUGGGAUCAGCCGGAGGAGAGGAUAGGAACGAGCCGGAGACUUCAACUCAGCGGGCAUCGUAACUCGGCUGGCGGUUUACCAAACAAUGCUCCACCCUUUUUAGACUUGAUGAGUUUUGUAAUAGAGUAGGUGCAACAGUUUAUCUCUGCUGUGCCAUCGCGCACAUAUUGAAUGUUAAAGUCUUUUGAAGUUGUCUCUUUGAUACUUCUCCGGGUCAUAAUCAAUCCUUUGUUUUUCUUAACCUCAAAAGAGGUGCCUUUAAUUAUCCUGCAUAGAGGGGAAAAUCACAAGUCUCGAGGCGGCUUACCGUCCUGAGAAUCAUAAAUUUUAGAUAACCCGGAAUAUGAAUCAAAAAGGACUUGUCUUCAAUGAUAUCCUGAAUACAGCCGUAAGAACAUACUGAACGGUCUGCAAGCAUACUUCCGAUUUAAAUAAUCCGGAUGAGGAAGUUGGUACCGCAACUCCGGUUUACCUGCCUUAUAACACCCAUUGCGUUCAGCAAUACUGUAAACCAAGGUUAAGCCGGCAAAGUGAGACCCGGCUGUACACACCUUGAUAUAAUCAAAGAAAACUUGUGAUAAAGCAGAAGAACUUAGGGGCUUCCGGUUCGAAUACGACCAGAGACCCGGCCCAAAGGGGUUAUGCUAAGAUUCGUACACGGUCAUAUAGCCCCCAGUGGGUGUGGCGAUGCCAAUCAAGAGGGUACCGACAGCUAUGUUCUCUUUGGUUCGAAUACGACCCAUGUGUGAACAGGAAGCCCCCAAGUGAUUUUAAGAAUUGUUUAACGACGCUGAUUCGAAUACGAUCCACGUCGGUUCUCAGAGGGGUUAAACAAUGAUUCAGAUAUGACCAAAGGUAACCUCCCAAUGAGCUCGGCAUUGUGCCAAUCAAACGGGUAUCGACAGCUAUGUUCUCUUUGGUUCGAAUACGACCCAUGUUUGAACAGGAAGCCCCCAAGUGACUUUAUUGCUUACGGCUAGAUUCGAAUACGAUCAUAAGCCGGAUCCUCCUUUAAGUUGUCAUGUAAUCUUGCAAUAAAAACAACACGUGCAUAUUUGGAGGAGAAAAAAGGACAGAGGUCAUGCUUUAUUGCUUAUCAUAAUAUAUACAUGGCUGAGAGAAAUAUGUACACCACGAGAGCCGGUGGCUCAAGUGUAGUAAGGCCGAAGCUGAGCUAUGUUCCACGGCCGACGGGUUUCUUCCUCCGACUUACGUGAAUCUUUGUGCUCCCGAAUGUCAAUGAGGUAAUAUGACCCGUUGUGCAAGUUCUUGCUGACCACAAAGGGCCCUUCCCAAGGCGGGGAUAACUUGUGUGCAUCUGUUUGAUCCUGGAUGAGCCGGAGCACAAGAUCGCCUUCCUGGAAGACCCGGGAUUUAACUCGGCGGCUAUGAUAAUGGCGCAGGUCUUGUUGAUAAAUCGCUGAGCGGGCUGCUGCCACAUCACGUUGUUCAUCCAACAAGUCAAGAGCAUCUUGGCGCGCCUGUUCAUUAUCCGUCUCAACAUAAGCCGCCACUCGAGGUGAGUCAUGACGGAUGUCACUGGGGAGGACUGCUUCCGCCCCGUAAACCAUGAAGAAAGGCGUGAAGCCUGUAGAUCUGUUAGGAGUAGUGUUGAUGCUCCAUAACACGGAGGGUAGCUCCUCCACCCAACAACCCGGCGUCCGUUGUAAAGGGACCAAAAGCCGGGGCUUGAUACCCUUCAGAAUCUCCUGAUUAGCUCUCUCAACCUGACCAUUGGAUUGAGGAUGAGCCACUGAGGAAACAUCAAGUCGGAUAUGCUCUCGUUGACAAAAACUCCUCCAUGGCGCCUUUGGAGAGAUUGGUGCCAUUGUCAGUUAUAAUGCUGUGUGGGAAACCAAAGCGAAAGAUCGCCUUUUUCAUAAACUGAACCGCCGUGGCUGCAUCACACUUGCUAACUGGCUCCGCUUCAACCCACUUGGUAAACUUGUCAACUGCCACCAAAAGGUGGGUCUUCUUAUCCUUGGACCUUUUGAAAGGUCCAACCAUAUCAAGCCCCCACACCGCAAAGGGCCAAGUGAUUGGGAUCAUCCUCAGCUCCUGAGCCGGCACAUGAGCCCGUCGUGAGAACCUCUGGCAACCAUCACAUUUACUGACCAAGUCCUCUACAUCAGCAUGAGCCGUCAACCAAUAAAAACCAUGACGAAAAGCCUUGGCCACAAGGGACUUUGAGCCGGCAUGAUGGCCACAAUCCCCUUCAUGGAUCUCACGCAAGAUCUCUUGACCUUCCUCAGGGGAGACACAACGCUGAAAUGCUCCUGUAACACUAUGAUGAUGCAACUCGCCAUCAAUAAUGAUCAUUGACUUAGCCCGCCGGGUUAUCUGCCUGGCCAAAGUUUCAUCCUCAGGCAACUCGCCCCCGGUCAUGUAAGCCAGAUAUGGCAUUGUCUAGUCUGGUAUGAUAUGGAGAGCCGCCACCAGUCGUGCCUCCGGGUCAGGGACAGCCAAGUCUUCCUCCGUAGGCAACUUAACCGAAGGGCUAUACAGGACGUCCAGGAAAGUGUUAGGCGGCACCGGCUUUCGCUGAGAGCCUAGCCGGCUUAGAGCAUUAGCCGCCUCGUUCUUCCUGCGAUCAAUGUGCUCUACUUGGUAGCCCUGAAAGUGCCCAGCAAUGGCAUCAACUUCGCGACGAUAAGUCGCCAUGAGAGGGUCCUUAGAGUCCCACUUGCCUGACACUUGUUGAGCCACCAAGUCCGAGUCACCGAAGCACCUUACCCGGCUCAAGCUCAUCUCCUUAGCCAUCCGAAGACCGUGGAGCAAGGCCUCGUACUCAGCCGCAUUGUUAGUGCAAGGAAACAUCAACUGUAGCACAUAAUGGAACUUGUCACCUUUAGGGGAAGCCAAUACAACGCCAGCCCCCGAGCCCUCCAACUGCCUGGACCCAUCGAAGUGAAUAGUCCAAUACGUGUUAUCCGGCUUUUGCUCGGGCACUUGUGACUCUGUCCAAUCAUUGAUGAAAUCCACCAAGGCCUGAGAUUUAACAGCAGUGCGUGGCACAUAUUUGAGACCAUGAGGUCCAAGUUCUAUAGCCCACUUAGCAAUUCUCCCUGUGGCCUCUCUGUUUUGAAUGAUAUCACCAAGAGGGGCAGAACUGACCACAGUGAUGGGAUGACCCUGAAAAUAAUGCUUAAGUUUCCGGCUCGCCAUGAACACACCAUACACAAGCUUCUGCCAAUGCGGGUACCGCUGCUUGGACUCAAUGAGCACUUCGCUGACAUAAUAAACCGGCCGCUGAACCGGAUGCUCCUUGCCCUCCUCCUUGCGCUCCACCACAAUAGCCACAUUGACGGCUCGUGCAUUUGCCGCCACAUACAGCAGUAAGGGCUCCUUAUCAACUGGAGCAGCAAGGACUGGGGGCUCUGCCAGCUGCUUCUUCAAAUCCUCAAAGGCGGUAUUAGCUGCAUCAUUCCAGACAAAGCUAUCAGUUUUCUUCAUCAACUGAUAUAAGGGCAUGGCCUUCUCACCCAAACGGCUUAUAAACCGGCUUAAAGCAGCGAUGCGACCCGCCAAGCGCUGAACGUCAUUUAUACACGCCGGCUUAGCCAGGGAGGUGAUGGCCUUGAUCUUCUCCGGGUUAGCCUCAAUGCCUCUGUCAGAAACCAAGAAACCCAAGAGUUUGCCUGCAGGAACACCAAAGACACACUUGGCCGGGUUAAGCAUCAUCUUGUAGACCCGGAGAUUAUCAAAGGUUUCCCUUAAAUCAUCUAUCAGGGUUUCUUCUUUCAUGGACUUAACCACAAUAUCGUCCACAUAAGCGUGAACAUUGCGCCCAAUUUGUUUAUGAAGACAGUUCUGUACACAACGCUGGUAAGUCGCCUGUGCACACUUGAGUCCAAAGGGCAUAGACACAUAGCAGAAGGCUCCAAAGGGAGUGAUGAACGCCGUCUUCUCCUGGUCCUUAACUGCCAUCUUAAUCUGAUGAUAUCCGGAAUAAGCAUCCAAGAAACUUAAGCGUGCACAACCUGCCGUAGCAUCAAUGAUUUGAUCAAUACGGGGGAGGGCAAAAGGAUCAGCCGGACACGCCUUGUUCAAGUGUGUGUAGUCCACACACAUCCGCCAGGUGCCGUUCUUCUUGAGUACGAGCACCGGGUUAGCCAACCACUCUGGGUGAAAUACUUCAACGAUAAACCCGGCCGCCAAAAGCCGGGCCACCUCUUCACCAAUAGCCUUCCGCCUCUCUUCAUUAAACCGCCGAAGGAACUGCCUGACCGGCUUAAAUUUUGGAUCAACAUUGAGAGUGUGAUCAGUGAGUUCCCUAGGUACACCUGGCAUGUCAGAAGGUUUCCAUGCGAAGAUGUCCCUAUUCUCACGGAUGAACUCGAUGAGCGCGCUUUCCUAUUGUGGAUCCAGAUUGGCACUGAUGCUAAACUGCUGAGAUGAAUCUCCUGGAACAAAAUCAACAAGCUUAGUUUCAUCAGCCGACUUAAAUUUCAUCGCCGGCUCAUUCUCCGUAGUCGGCUUUUUCAGAGAGGUCAUAUCUGUUAGGUCAACAUUGUCUUUGUAAAACUUCAACUCCUCUGUAGCACAAACAGACUCUGCAUAAGCCGCAUCGCCUUCCUCACACUCCAGAGCCACUUUCCGGCUGCCGUGAACCGUAAUGGUCCCAUUGUGACCCGGCAUCUUGAGCUGUAAGUACACAUAACACGGCCGUGCCAUAAAUUUGGCGUAAGCCGGCCGUCCAAAUAUAGCAUGGUACGGACUUCUUAUCUUGACCACCUCAAAGGUCAAUUUCUCCACCCUGUAGUUGUUCUCAUCUCCAAAGGCCACUUCUAAUUCGAUCUUGCCGACUGGAUAAGCCGACUUACCAGGUACCACACCAUGGAAGAUAGUGUUUGACUGGCUGAGGUUCUUAUCAACCAACCCCAUACGGCGAAAAGUCUCAUAAUAGAGGAUGUUGAUGCUGCUGCCUCCAUCCAUGAGCACAUUUGUGAACUUAUAUCCUCCCACUUGAGGAGCCACCACUAAGGCCAAGUGGCCCGGGUUAUCCACCCGGGGAGGGUGAUCCUCCCUACUCCACACUAUGGGCUGCUCAGACCACCGCAAGUAGCGUGGGACUGCCGGCUCAACAGCAUUCACUGCCCUCUUAUGAAGCUUCUGAUCUCGCUUACACAGGCUGGUGGUAAACACAUGAUACUGUCCACCGCUAACCUGCUUUGGAUUGGUCUGAUAACCCCCCUGCUGUCAUGUAUAUAAAGUAUAUAGUAUAUACCCGUGAUCACCUCCCGAAGUGAUCACGGCCCAGUAGUAUAGCAUGGCAGACGGACAAGAGUGUAGGGCCACUGAUGGAACACUAGCAUCCUAUACUAAGCAGUAGGAUAGCAGGUAAGGGUAACAACUGUAGCAACAAUGAUAGGCUAUGCAGCAGAAUAGGAUUAACCGAAAGCAGUAACAUGCUACACUCUUCUAAUGCAAGCAGUAUAGAGAAGAAUAGGCGAUAUCUGGUGAUCAAGGGGGGGCUUGCCUGGUUGCUCUGGCAAGUAGGGGUCGUCAACAGCGUAGUCGGUCGGGGCACCAGCAGCGGCGUCGGUCUCGUAGUCUAGCGGAGAAGAGGGGGAAUAAACAAUAAAUAUAAUGCAAACAUAAGCAUGACGAUGGAAGACAUGUCAAUGCGCGGUGCUAGGUGUGCCCUAACACGGUAGGAGGUGGUACCGGGAAAGGGGGAAACAUCCGGGAAAGUAUUCCCGGUGUUUCGCGUUUUCGGACAGAUGAACCGGAGGGGGAAAGUUGCGUGUUUGCUAUGCUAGGGAUGUGUGGCAGGCGAACGGGCUACGUAUCCGGAUUCGUCUCGUCGUUCUGAGCAACUUUCAUGUACAAAGUUUUUCCAUCCGAGCUACGGUUUAUUUUAUAUUGAUUUUAAAAGAUUUAAAUCACUUUUUAGCAUUUAUUUAAUUAUUUUAAUCCAACAUUAUCUAGAACAGUGCAUGCUGACAUCAGCAUGACGUCAGCAGUCAACAGAGGCAUUGACUGGUCAACUGACGUGUGGGUCCCGUUCGUCAUUGACUGUUUAGUCUAAUUAGGGUUUAACUAAUCUAAUUACGGUUUAAUUAAACUAACUAGUUAAUUAGAUUAAUUAAAUAUGAUUAAUAAUUAAUUAUUUUAAUUAUUAUUUAUUUAGUUUUUUAUAUUCAUUCUUUUUUUAAAUGUUCAAGGGGUGGGGCCCCUUUGUCAUAGGGCCCGGGGGGCGCUUAGCGAGCAUGCGGGUUACGGGCGUCGUCCGUGCAGGCGCAUGCCCCGGGCGCCGAAGCGCGCGCCCAGGGGGAAGUAGCGGGCGGCGCCGACGGAGGGCUGCGCGCGCGGGAGAGCGCUGGGGGGGCAACGCCGCGAGCGAGAGGGGAGNNNNNNNNNNNNNNNNNNNNNNNNNNNNNNNNNNNNNNNNNNNNNNNNNNNNNNNNNNNNNNNNNNNNNNNNNNNNNNNNNNNNNNNNNNNNNNNNNNNNNNNNNNNNNNNNNNNNNNNNNNNNNNNNNNNNNNNNNNNNNNNNNNNNNNNNNNNNNNNNNNNNNNNNNNNNNNNNNNNNNNNNNNNNNNNNNNNNNNNNNNNNNNNNNNNNNNNNNNNNNNNNNNNNNNNNNNNNNNNNNNNNNNNNNNNNNNNNNNNNNNNNNNNNNNNNNNNNNNNNNNNNNNNNNNNNNNNNNNNNNNNNNNNNNNNNNNNNNNNNNNNNNNNNNNNNNNNNNNNNNNNNNNNNNNNNNNNNNNNNNNNNNNNNNNNNNNNNNNNNNNNNNNNNNNNNNNNNNNNNNNNNNNNNNNNNNNNNNNNNNNNNNNNNNNNNNNNNNNNNNNNNNNNNNNNNNNNNNNNNNNNNNNNNNNNNNNNNGGAGCGAAGGCAGCAGCGCCGGCGAGAGCAAGAUGGAUGCGGGGCGAGGGUCGGGCGCGACAUCACGGCGCGAGGAGCAGAGGCGGGCAGGGGAGAGGAGGAGAGGUGCGGCCAGCAGCGGCAGUAGCAGGCGGUGGGCGCGGCGAGGAGGAGCUCGAGCGCUCGGGAGGGCGGGCGCGGGUGGCUGGCAAGGGUGCGGUGAACGCGGCUGAGCGCACGCGGGGCGCGGCGACCGCGGCGUGUGCGCGUUAGAUGAGGGGGAGAGGGGGGUGGCGCUCACUAGCGUUGCCGGGGAGAGGGUCGGCGUGGCUUGGUGAAGCCCUUGGGGAGGAGGACGGGGACGACAUGCGGCGCAGGGGAAGACAAGGAGGCAGUCCGGCGAGGUGGCGGUCCAGCGAGGCGGCCUCUGGCGACGGCGGAGUCGGGUCCCGAUGCCCCGAUCCGAUCUGGAUCGUGGGGAGAGGGAGAGGCGAGUGGGGCGAAGUGGGGUGACCAGGGGUUAGGGUUUCGGGACGGGGAGGAUAAGGUGAGUGGGGGGCCCGGCUUGGGCUAGUGGGCUAGCCGGCUGGGCCGUCUGGCCCGGUUGGCCAAGGGGGCUUUUUUCCUUUUAUUUUGUUUUCUGGUUUUCUUUUUAUUCUUUUUCCUUUUCUGUUUUAUUUUAGUUACACUUUAUUCUUAGUUUAGUAAAAUAUGACAAUAGCUCCAAAUUAGUGUUUCAAAACAACCCACUACCCUAAAAAGUUUUACCUCAAAAUAAAAUAGUUUAUGAUUUUAUAAAAUAUCAAAGGCAUUUAUUUAAUAGUUUUACCUACUGUUUUAAUCAUUUAAGUGCAUUUAAACCUUUUAUAAAAAUGUGGUUUCUCCACAAUAAUUACCUAUGCAUUAUUUGGCAACACCCCAACAUUUUAGUUUUAAUAUUUGAAAAUCUUUACCGUUUGACUUUAAUUCAAUUUUGAAUUUGAAUCGGUUUUGAACUAACCCGAGAUUAACUACAGUGACAUAGGUGACGUGGCAUCAUUAGCAGGGAAUUACUGUAGUCUAAUUAUCUAGGCGUCACAUAUGGCUAGUAAAAGAGUUAAUAAACCAUAGAGAAGUUGGAAUACAGUAGGUUUAACACUAAUAUAAAUAAAGAAUGAGUUCAAUACAGUACCUUGAAGUGGUGUUUUGUUUUCUUUCGCUAACGGAGCUCACGAGAUUUUCUGUUAAGCUUUGUGUUGUGAAAUUUUCAAGUUAUGGGUAAAGAUUUGAUGGAUUAUGGAACAAGGAGUGGCAAGAGCCUAAGCUUGGGGAUGCCCAAGGCACCCCAAGGUAAAUCUAAGGACACCAAAAAGCCAAAGCUUGGGGAUGCCCCGGAAGGCAUCCCCUCUUUCGUCUUCGUCCAUCGGUAACUUUACUUGGAGCUAUAUGUUUAUUCACCACAUGAUAAGUGUUUUGCUUGGAGCGUCUUGUAUGAUUUGAGUCUUUGCUUUUAUUUUACCACAAUCAUCCUUUCUGAAUAUACUUUUGAGAGAGACACACAUGAUUCGGAAUUUAUUAGAAUACUCUAUGUGCUUCACUUAUAUCUUUUGAGCUAUAUAGUUUUUGCUCUAGUGCUUCACUUAUAUCUUUUAGAGAACGGCGGUGGUUUGCUUUAUAGAAACUAUUGUUCUCUCAUGCUUCACUUAGAUUAUUUUGAGAGUCCUACAAAACAGCAUGGUAAUUUGCUUUAAUUAUGAUAGGCAUCUAAGAUUAGUAAAGAAAAAAAUUUCUUAUGAGUGUGUUGAAUACUAUGAGAAGUUUGAUGCUUGAUAAUUGUUUUGAGAUAUGAAGAUGGUAAUAUUAGAGUCAUGCUAGUUCAGUAGUUUUGAAUUUGAGAAAUACUUGUGUUAAAAUUUGUGAUUCCCGUAGCAUGCACGUAUGGUGAACCGUUAUGUGAUGAAGUCGGAGCAUGAUUUAUUUAUUGAUUGUCUUCCUUAUGAGUGGCGGUCGGGGAUGAGCGAUGGUCUUUUCCUACCAAUCUAUCCCCGUAGGAGCAUGCGCGUAAUACUUUGUUUCGAUAACUAAUAGAUUUUUGCAACAAGUAUAUGAGUUCUUUAUGACUAAUGUUGAGUCCAUGGAUUAUACGCACUCUCAUCCUUCCACCAUUGCUAGCCUCUCUAAUACCGCACACUUUUCGCCGGUAUCAUAAACCCACCAUAUACCUUCCUCAAAACAGCCACCAUACCUACCUAUCAUGGCAAUUCCAUAGCCAUUCCGAGAUAUAUUGCCAUGCAACUUACCACCAUUCCAUUUGCUAUGACACGCUCCAUCAUUGUCAUAUUGCUUUGCAUGAUCAUGUAGUUGACAUUGUAUUUGUGGCAAAGCCACCGUUCAUAAUUCUUUCAUACAUGUCACUCUUGAUUCAUUGCAUAUCCCGGUAUUCCGCCGGAGGCAUUUACAUAGAGUCAUAUUGUUGUUCUAAGUAUUGAGUUGUAAGAAAAUAAAAGUGUGAUUAUCAUCAUUAUUAGAGCAUUGUCCCAAGUGAGGAAAGGAUGAUGGAGACUAUGAUUCCCCCAUAACUCGGGAUGAGACUCCGGACUAAAAAAAGAGAAAGGCCAUAAAAAGGAGAGAGAGAAAAGGCCAAAGAAAAAAAUGAGAGAAAAGGAGAGAAGGGACAAUGCUACUAUCAUUUUACCACACUUGUGCUUCAAAGUAGCACCAUGAUCUUCAUGAUAGAGAGUCUCUUAUGUUGUCACUUUCAUAUACUAGUGGGAAAUUUUCAUUAUAGAACUUGGCUUCUAUAUUCCAAUGAUGGGCUUCCUCAAAAUGCCCUAGGUCUUCGUGAGCAAGCGAGUUGGAUGCACACCCACUUAGUUUCUUUUGUUGAGCUUUCUUAUACGUAUAGCUCUAGUGCAUCCGUUGCAUGGCAAUCCCUACUCACUCACAUUGAUAUCUAUUGAUGGGCAUCUCCAUAGCCCGUUGAUACGCCUAGUUGAUGUGAGACUAUCUUCUCCCUUUUUGUCUUCUCCACAACCACCAUUCUAUUCCACAUAUAGUGCUAUGUCCAUGGCUCACGCUCAUGUAUUGCGUGAAGAUUGAAAAAGUUUGAGAACACCAAAAGUAUGAAACAAUUGCUUGGCUUGUCAUCGGGGUUGUGCAUGAUUAUAUACUUUGUGUGAUGAAGAUAGAGCAUAUCCAGACUAUAUGAUUUUGUAGGGAUAACUUUCUUUGGCCGUGUUAUUUUGAGAAAACAUAAUUGCUUAGUUAGUAUGCUUGAAGUAUUAUUAUUUUUAUGCCAAUAUUAAACUUUUGUCUUGAACCUUUCAGAUCAGAACAUUCAUACCACAAUUAAGAGAAUUACAUUGAAAAUUAUGCCAAGUAGCAUUCCACAUCAAAAAAUUUGUUUUUAUCAUUUACCUACUCGAGGACGAGCAGGAGUUAAGCUUGGGGAUGCUUGAUACGUCUCCAACGUAUCUAUAAUUUUUUAUUGUUCCAUGCUAUAUUAUAUUCUGUUUUGGAUGUUUAAUGGGCUUUAUUAUACACUUUUAUAUUAUUUUAUGGACCAACCUAUUAACCGGAGGCCCAGCCGAAAUUGCUGUUUUUGCCUAUUUCAGUGUUUCACAGAAAAAGAAUAUCAAACGGAGUCCAAACGGAAUGAAACCUUCGGGAACGUGAUUUUCGGAACAAACGUGAUCCAGAGGACUUGGAGUCCACGUCAAUAAAUCAACGAGGAGAGCACGAGGCAGGGGGGCGCGCCUANNNNNNNNNNNNNNNNNNNNNNNNNNNNNNNNNNNNNNNNNNNNNNNNNNNNNNNNNNNNNNNNNNNNNNNNNNNNNNNNNNNNNNNNNNNNNNNNNNNNNNNNNNNNNNNNNNNNNNNNNNNNNNNNNNNNNNNNNNNNNNNNNNNNNNNNNNNNNNNNNNNNNNNNNNNNNNNNNNNNNNNNNNNNNNNCCCGGCGCGCCCUCCACCUCAUGGGGCCCACGUUGCUCCACCGACGUACUUCUUCCUCCUAUAUAUACCUACGUACCCCCAAACCAUCAGAGGCAUCCACGAAAAUCUAAUUCUAGCGCCGCAACCUUCUGUACCCGUGAGAUCCCAUCUUGGGGCCUUUUCCGGCGUCCUGCCAGAGGGGGCAUUGAUCACGGAGGGCUUCUACAUCAACACCAUAGCCUCUCCGAUGAUGUGUGAGUAGUUUACCUCAGACCUUCGGGUCCAUACUUAUUAGCUAGAAGGCUUCUUCUCUCUCUUUGGAUCUCAAUACAAAGUUCUCCAUGAUUCUCGUGGAGAUCUAUUCAAUGUAAUCUUCUUUUGCAGUGUGUUUGUCGGGACCGAUGAAUUGUGGCUUUAUGAUCAAGUUUAUCUAUGAACAAUAUUUGAAUCUUCUCUGAAUUCUUUUAUGUAUGAUUGGUUAUCUUUGCAAGUCUCUUCGAAUUAUCAGUUUGGUUUGGCCUACUAGAUUGAUCUUUCUUGCAAUGGGAGAAGUGCUUAGCUUUGGGUUCAAUCUUGCGGUGUCCUUUCCCAGUGACAGCAGGGGCAGCAAGGCACGUAUUGUAUUGUUGCCAUCGAGGAUAACAAGAUGGGGUUUAUAUCAUAUUGCAUGAGUUUAUCCCUCUACAUCAUGUCAUCUUGCUUAAAGCGUUACUCUGUUCUUAUGAACUUAAUACUCUAGAUGCAUGCUGGAUAGCGGUCGAUGUGUGGAGUAAUAGUAGUAGAUGCAGGCAGGAGUCGGUCUACUUGUCACGGACGUGAUGCCUAUAUACAUGAUCAUACCUAGAUAUUCUCAUAACUAUGCUCAAUUCUAUCAAUUGCUCGACAGUAAUUUGUUCACCCACCAUAAUACUUAUGCUCUUGAGAGAAGCCACUAGUGAAACCUAUGGCCCUCGGGUCUAUUUUCCAUCAUAUUAAUCUCCCGUCAACAAGCUAUUUCUGGCGCUGUUUAUUUUGCUUUCUUUACUUUUAGUCUUUGUCAUAAAAAUACCAAAAAUAUUAUCUUAUCAUAUCUAUCAGAUCUCACUCUCGUAAGUGACCGUGAAGGGAUUGACAACCCCUUUAUCGCGUUGGUUGCGAGGUUCUUAUUUGUUUGUGUAGGUGCGAGGGACUCGAGCGUAGCCUCCUACUGGAUUGAUACCUUGGUUCUCAAAAACUGAGGGAAAUAUUUACGCUACUUUACUGCAUCACCCUUUCCUCUUCAAGGGAAAAACCAACGCAGUGCUCAAGAGGUAGCAGAAUUUGAAACUGUUGUGGCACAUCGUACUAAAUUAAAUGAUAUAGCCACCAUGUUCACUAAUGAUGAGAAAACUUGCUACUAUUAUAUCCUUAAAAUAUUUCCGUUCUCAUUAAAGGGUGAUGCUAAGAUAUGGUUUAAUUCUAUUGAUCCUGGUUGUGUGCAUAGUCCACAGGAUAUGAUUUAUUACUUCUCUGCUAAAUAUUUCCCUGCUCAUAAGAAACAAGCUGCUUUAAGGGAUAUAUAUAAUUUUGUGCAAAUUGAAGAAGAGAGUCUCCCACAAGCUUGGGGGAGGCUUCUCCAAUUACUUAAUGCUUUACCUGAUCAUUCUCUCAAGAAAAAUGAAAUACUUGAUAUCUUUUAUAAUGGAGUAACCGAUGCUUCCAGAGACCACCUGGAUAGUUGUGCUCGUUGUGUUUUCAGGGAAAGAACUGUUGAUCAAGCUGAAAUUCUAUUGAAUAAUAUGUUGACUAAUGAAAACAAUUGGACACUUCCUGAACCAACUCCUAAGCCAACUCCGAAGAAAAGGGGUGUUCUAUUUCUCAGUCCUGAAGAUAUGCAAGAGGCAAAGAAAUCUAUGAAAUAAAAGGGUAUUAAAGCUGAAGAUGUUAAGAAUUUACCUCCUAUUGAAGAAAUACAUGGUCUUAAUUCAUCACCUAUUGAAGAAACUCAUGGUCUUGAUAACCCAACACAGGUAGUAAAGGUAAAUUCUCUCUAUAGAUAUGAUAAAGCUGAAAUCCCACCUACUAAGUUUGCUAGCCAAUGUUUGGAUGAGUUUGAUAAUUUUAUGGUUAAGCAAGAAAACUUCAAUGCUUAUUUUGGUAGGGAAUUAAAACGCAAUGCUUCUAUGAUUGAACACUUGAGUGAUUAUAUGUCUAGAGUUAAAGGUGAACUUAAACUCAUUAGUAAACAUGCUUCUAUGGUUACCACUCAAGUAGAACAAGUACUUAAAGCUCAGAAUGAUUUGCUCAAUGAAUUAAAUAGUAAGAAUAAUGACUUUGAUGUUAGAGUUGCAACUAGAGGGGGUAAAGUGACUCAGGAACCUUUGUAUCCUGAAGGUCACCCUAAGAGAAUUGAGCAAGAUUCUCAAAGAACUAAUGUAGAUGCACCUAGUCCUUCUAAAAAGAAGAAAAAGAAAAAUGAUAGGACUUUGCAUGCUUCCAGUGAACCUGUUGUAGACACACCUGAGAAUCCCAAUGAUAUUUCUAUUUCUGAUGCUAAAACACAAUCUGGUGAUGAACAUGAACCUAGUGAUAAUGCUAAUAAUGAUGUUCAUAUUGAUGCUCAACCUAGCAAUGAUAAUGAUGUAGAGAUUGAACCUGCUGUUGAUCUUGAUAACCCACAAUCAAAGAAUCAGCAUUAUGAUAAGAGAGACUUUGCUGCUAGGAAGCACGGUAAAGAAAGAGAACCAUGGGUUCAGAAACCCAUGCCUUUUCCUCCCAAACCAUCCAAGAGAAAGGAUGAUGAGGAUUUUGAGCGCUUUGAUGAAACGAUUAGACCUAUCUUUUUGCGUAUGCGUUUGACUGAUAUGCUUAAAAUGAACCCUUAUGCUAAGUAUAUGAAAGAAAUUGUUACUAAUAAGAGAAAGAUACCGGAAGCUGAAAUUUCCACCAUGCUUGCUAAUUAUACUUUUAAGGGUGGAAUACCAAAGAAACUUGGAGACCCAGGAGUACCUACUAUACCAUGCUCCAUUAAAAGAAAUUAUGUUAGAACUGCUUUAUGUGAUCUUGGAGCCAGUGUUAGUGUUAUGCCUCUCUCUUUAUAUCGUAGACUUGAUUUGAAUAAGUUAACACCUACUGAAAUAUCUUUGCAAAUGGCUGAUAAAUCAACUGCUAUACCUGUCGGUAUUUGUGAGGAUGUGCUUGUUGUGGUUGCAAACGUUACUAUUUUAACGGACUUUGUUAUUCUUGAUAUUCCCGAGGACGAUAGUAUGUCUAUUAUUCUUGGAAGACCCUUUUUGAAUACUGCAGGGGCUGUUAUUGAUUGCAACAAAGGCAAUGUCACUUUUCAUGUUAAUGGUAAUGAGCAUACGGUACACUUUCCGAGGAAACAACCUCAAGUCCACAGUAUCAAUUCUAUUGGAAAAAUUCCAUUGAUUAUUUUUGGAGGUUUUGAAUUUCCUCUUCCUACUAUCAAGAAGAAAUAUGAUAUUCUUAUUAUUGGGGAUGUGCAUAUCCCCGUUGAGGUAACCUAGUGCUAUUCGAAAAUUCUCCGGUUUCAUGCGAUUCGGAAUAAGUUUGUUAACAAGACUUGAUCAACCUUGUUAGUGGAUUCCUUUUGAUGAGCAUGAGAUGGAUGAAGUUCGAAAGCACAACCUUCGGUACCCUCCUUUUACUUUCUGUUAUUUAGAAUAAAUAAAGCAAAAAUAGUAUUUUAUGUCUGUUUUCUGAAUUAUCCGUGCAAUAAAAAAUACCCCAAAAAUAAAAGUUCUCCAAAUGCCCCGAAAUUGAAAUAUGAUUUUUUCUGGAAUAUUUGAGAAUAUCUGGCACUGAGAACACAGCAGGGGGAGCAAGCACCUGGCCACGAGGGUCCAGGGCGCGCCCCCUGCCUCGUGGGCCCAUGGUGGCUCCCCUCCACUUAUUCCAGCCACCACACACUCCUUCUUCCUCCCAAAAAAUCACCAACCAGCUCAAGCACGAGUUCUAGCUCAUUUUGCUGCGAUUUUUGAUCUCCUUGCUCAAAGCACCUCUCACAAAACUUCUUUGGGGGAUUGUUCCUUGGUAUGGACUCCUCCAAUGGUCCAAUUAGUUUUUGUUCUAGUGCUUUAUUGAUUGCAAAUUUUUGCUGCCUAGGUGACCAUGUUCUUGAGCUUGCAUGUCAAAUUUAUAUGGUUCCAAGUAGUUCUAAUGCAUGAUAUAGUCUCUAGGCACUUGUGGGAGUAGUUUCUAUCAAUAUUGUUGAGUUUGGUUCACUUUUAUUUGAAGUUACUAAAAAUUUCAGAAAUUUUUCACAGGAAGAAAUAUGUUUAGGAAAAUGUACCAAGGUGGCCCUUCAAGGAAGCAAGGACCCAGGUUCGCAAUGCGCGAUGCCGACGAUGAACCACCAAGGGAAGCUCAAGUGCGGGCUUGUGAAUGGCCUUCAGAGGACUUUAUGGAUCGAGCGGGAAUCAAGGAAGAAUUUAACGCAUAUGUGCGUAACGCUGAUCUUGUGAGCUUCGAGGCAGAUAAGUGCUGUCAGUACCACUCUCUCACUGAUUCCUUUGUGAGGAGGUUUGAAUUUUCAUCUUCACGCAAUUCUCAAACUAUCAUGUUUGAUCUUUAUGAAAAUUCUUAUACAAUGGACUCAGAGGAUUUUAGCACUGCUUGCAAACUUCCACAAUGGGGUAGCACUAGUGAGCCUCGCAAAUCUGAGUUUAGAGAUUUUCUUGCUAGUGUAACUGUAGGGGAAUCUAGAGACAUAACACAAGCUACCAUAGGGAGCAUUCAUUUUCCUGAUAUACAUUAUUUUGCUCUCUUCAUAGGUAGGUGCAUAAAUGGUAUGGAUGAAGCAUGUCACAUGUGUGUCCCUGACCUCAGUGUUCUCAGGAGUGCUUUAUUAGGAGAUAAACAUUAUAAUUUGGGAGCCAUUGUUGCACGUAGGUUGCAUAAUAAUAGAUUUAAUGGAGAUUUCUUUGCUGAAAUUUAUGCAACCCGUUUAGCUAAUUUUCUUGAUAUACCUAUUCGUGAUCAUGAUAUGGAAUUGCCUCCUUCUUAUCUAGAUUUUAAUGCCAUGGUUCACCAUCGGUUUGUUGAGAGGAAUGAACCGCCUCUCCAGUACCGACUAAUCUUUGAUAGGCGUCACGCCGUCAAUAUUGUUCUCCCUGCUCCUACUCCCUUUGAUUUUCAGACAAAGGGGAGAUAUGUCAUAACCAGGGAGAAGGCAAAUGAGUACGAGAGGAGGACGAGGGCAUCUCGCCUCCAAGCUGCAGCCCACGAUACAAUAGCCGCUGCAUCUCAGUACGACCCCAACUACAACUUUGGAUAUCCGCCAGGCCAGCCGUGGCAGUAGACCAACUUAGGCCAAAAUCCUAAGCUUGGGGGAGUAUGUAUUUCUCACCGACAAUACAUUCAUGUUUACACACUCAUUGCUAGAUGUCGGUGCUCAUACUUUUUCAUUGUACUAUCCAUGCUAGUUUAUUUUCCUUUUUAUGCUUUCUUCUUGUGUGUUUGAAAAACCUUAAGAAAAACAAGAAAAUUAGUUGUAGCUUUUAGCUAGUUUACUUUCCAUGCAUGUAGUAGUAGAAGUAAAAGAAAACCCAAAAAUAUUUCCCGUUCUUCUUUUGCUUGUUGGGAGCUUUCCCGUGUAAAUAGUUUUAUUUCUUUUCUUUUCUUUGGGGGUCGAUAGGAGAAGACCAUAAUGAAAAUGUUGAAGUGGCUCUUAUAUGCUUUAUUGUUGAUUUAAUCGAGAGCCCAUAUUAUUUUGUCUUCUCCUGUGUGUCAGAUGCCUGCAGAUUCCAGCUUAGUUCAAUGCACGUGCACUAUUAUUAUUAUUCACAUCGUUCGGUCGUGCAAGUGAAAGGCAAUUAUGACGAUACAUGAUGGACUGAUUGAGAUGAGAGAAGCUGGUAUGAACUCGACCUCUCUUGUUUUUGUAAAUAUGAUUAGUUCAUCGUUCCUGAUUCAGCCUAUUAUGAAUAGACAUGUUUGCAAUGACAAUUAGAGAUUAUAGUUGCUUAUGCCAUGCUUAAUUAGCUAGGAGUUUAUAAUGUUUAUCUUGCGUGCCAACAUGCUAUUAAAAUGGUUGUGAUGUGGUAUGAUAGGGUGGUAUCCUCCUUUGAAUGAUUCGAGUGACUUGACUUGGCACAUGUUCACGCAUGUAGUUGAAACAAAAUCAACAUAGCCUUCAUGAUAUUUAUGUUCAUGGUGGAUUAUAUCCUACUCAUGCUUGCACUCAAUGUUUAUUAAUUUUAAUGCAUGUUCAUGACUGUUGUCGCUCUCUAGUUGGUCGCUUCCCAGUCUUUUGCUAGCCUUCACUUGUACUAAGCGGGAAUACUGCUUGUGCAUCCAAUCCCUUAAACCCCAAAUUUAUUCCAUAUGAGUCCACUAUACCUUCCUAUAUGCGGUAUCUACCUGCCGUUCCAAGUAAAUUUGUAUGUGCCAAACUCUAAACCUUGAAAUGAAAUUCUGUUUUGUAUGCUCGAAUAGCUCAUGUAUCAACUAGGGUUGUUUGUAUCUUCCAUGCUAGGCGGGUUAUGAAGGAAAUAUGCCCUAGAGGCAAUAAUAAAGUUAUUAUUUAUUUCCUUAUCAUGAUAAAUGUUUAUUAUUCAUGCUAGAAUUGUAUUAACCGGAAACGUAAUACUUGUGUGGAUACAUAGACAAACAGAGUGUCACUAGUAUGCCUCUACUUGACUAGCUCGUUAAUCAAAGAUGGUUAUGUUUCCUAGCCAUUGACAUGGGUUGUCAUUUGAUUAACGGGGUCACAUCAUUAGGAGAAUGAUGUGAUUGACUUGACCCAUUCCGUUAGCUUAGCACUCAAUCGUUUAGUAUGUUGCUAUUGCUUUCUUCAUGACUUAUACAUGUUCCUAUGACUAUGAGAUAAUGCAACUCCGGUUUACCGGAGGAACACUUUGUGUGCUACCAAACGUCACAACGUAACUGGGUGAUUAUAAAGGUGCUCUACAGGUGUCUCCAAAGGUACUUGUUGGGUUGGCGUAUUUCGAGAUUAGGAUUUGUCACUCUGAUUAUCGGAGAGGUAUCUGUGGGCCCACUCGGUAAUGCACAUCACUUAAGCCUUGCAAGCAUUGCAACUAAUGAGUUAGUUGCGGGAUGAUGUAUUACGGAACGAGUAAAGAGACUUGUCGGUAACGAGAUUGAAAUAGGUAUUGAGAUACCAACGAUCGAAUCUCGGGCAAGUAACAUACCGAUGACAAAGGGAACAACGUAUGUUGUUAUGCGGUCUGACCGAUAAAGAUCUUCGUAGAAUAUGUGGGAGCCAAUAUGAGCAUCCAGGUUCCGCUAUUGGUUAUUGACUGGAGACGUGUCUCGGUCAUGUCUACAUAGUUCUCGAACCCGUAGGGUCCGCACACUUAACGUUUCGACGACAGUUAUAUUAUGAGUUUAUAUGUUUUGAUGUACCGAAGGUUGUUCGGAGUCUCGGAUGUGAUCACGGACAUGAUGAAGAGUCUUGAAAUGGUCGAGACAUGGAGAUUGAUAUAUUGGAAGCCUAUAUUUGGAUAUCGGAAGUGUUCCGGGUGAAAUCGGGAUUUUACCGGAGUACCGGAGGGGUUACCAGAACCCCCCGGGGGUUAAUGGGCCAUAGUGGGCCUUAGUGGAGAAGAGGAGAGGCGGCCAGGGCAGGGCCGCGCGCCCCUCCCCCCCUAGUCCAAAUAGGACAAGGAGAGGGGGCGGCGCCCCCCUUUCCUUCUCCUCCUCCACCUCUUCCCCCCCCCUUCUCCUAUUCCAACAAGCAAGGGAGGGAGUCCUACUCCCGGUGGGAGUAGGACUCCUCCUGGUGCGCCUCCUCCCUGGCUGGCCGCACCUCCCCCCUUGCUCCUUUAUAUACGGGGGCAGGGGGCACCCUAAAGACAACAAUUGAUCGUUUGAUCUUUUAGCCGUGUGCGGUUCCCCCCUCCACCGUAGUCCACCUCGAUAAUACUGUAGCGGUGCUUAGGCGAAGCCCUACGUCGGUAGAACAUCAUCACCGUCACCACGCCGUCGUGCUGACAAAACUCUCCCUCAACACUCGGCUGGAUCGAAGUUCGAGGGACGUCAUCGGGCUGAACGUGUGCUGAACUCGGAGGUGCCGUGCGUUCGGUACUUGAUCGGUCGGAUCGUGAAGACGUACGACUACAUCAACUGCAUUGUGCUAACGCUUCCACUUUCGGUCUACGAGGGUACGUGGACAAUACUCUCCCCUCUCGUUGCUAUGCAUCACCAUGAUCUUGCGUGUGCAUAGGAAUUUUUUUUGAAAUUACUACGUUCCCCAACAGUGGCAUCUGAGCCUGGUUUUAUGCGUAGAUGUCAUAUGCACGAGUAGAACACAAGUGAGUUGUGGGCGAUAUAAGUCAUACUGCUUACCAGCAUGUCAUACUUUGGUUCGGCGGUAUUGUUGGAUGAAGCGGCCUGGACCGACAUUACGCGUACGCUUAUGCGAGACUGGUUCUACCGACGUGCUUUGCACACAGGUGGCUGGCGGGUGUCAGUUUCUCCAACUUUAGUUGAACCGAGUGUGGCUACGCCCGGUCCUUGCGAAGGUUAAAACAGCACCAACUUGACAAACUAUCGUUGUGGUUUUGAUGCGUAGGUAAGAACGGUUCUUGCUACGCCCGUAGCAGCCACGUAAAAUUUGCAACAACAAAGUAGAGGACGUCUAACUUGUUUUUGCAGGGCAUGUUGUGAUGUGAUAUGGUCAAGACAUGAUGCUAAAUUUUAUUGUAUGAGAUGAUCAUGUUUUGUAACCGAGUUAUCUGCAACUGGCAGGAGCCAUAUGGUUGUCGCUUUAUUGUAUGCAAUGCAAUCGCCCUGUAAUGCUUUACUUUAUCACUAAGCGGUAGGGAUAGUCCUAGAAGCAUAAGAUUGGCGAGACGACAACGAUGCUACGAUGAAGAUCAAGGUGUCGCGCCGGUGACGAUGGUGAUCAUGACGGUGCUUCGGAGAUGGAGAUCACAAGCACAAGAUGAUGAUGGCCAUAUCAUAUCACUUAUAUUGAUUGCAUGUGAUGUUUAUCUUUUAUGCAUCUUAUCUUGCUUUGAUUGACGGUAGCAUUAUAAGAUGAUCCCUCACUAAAUUAUCAAAGUAUAAGUGUUCUCCCUAAGUAUGCACCGUUGUGAAAGUUCUUCGUGCUGAGACACCACGUGAUGAUCGGGUGUGAUAGGCUCUACGUUCAAAUACAACGGGUGCAAAACAGUUGCACACGCGGAAUACUCAGGUUAAGCUUGACGAGCCUAGCAUAUAACAGAUAUGGCCUCGGAACACGGAGACCGAAAGGUCGAGCGUGAAUCAUAUAGUAGAUAUGAUCAACAUAGUGUUGUUCACCGUUGAAACUACUCCAUCUCACGUGAUGAUCGGACAUGGUUUAGUUGAUAUGGAUCACGUGAUCACUUAGAGGAUUAGAGGGAUGUCUAUCUAAGUGGGAGUUCUUAAGUAAUAUGAUUAAUUGAACUUAAAUUUAUCAUGAACUUAGUACCUGAUAGUAUCUUGCUUGUCUAUGUUGAGUGUAGAUAGAUGGCCCGUGCUGUUGUUCCGUUGAAUUUUAAUGCGUUCCUUGAGAAAGCAAAGUUGAAAGAUGAUGGUAGCAAUUACACGGACUGGGUCCGUAACUUGAGGAUUAUCCUCAUUGCUGCACAGAAGAAUUACGUCCUGGAAGCACCGCUAGGUGUACCACCUGCGCCAGCAACUGCAGACAUUGUGAAUGUCUGGCAGUCACGUGUUGAUGACUACUCGAUAGUUCAAUGUGCCAUGCUUUACGGCUUAAAGAACCGGGACUUCAACGACAUUUUGAACGUCAUGGAGCAUAUGAGAUGUUCCAGGAACUGCAGUUAAUAUUUCAAAAGAAUGCCCGGAUUGAGAGAUAUGAAGUCUCCAAUAAAUUCUACAGCUGCAAGAUGGAGGAGAAUAGUUCUGUCAGUGAGCAUAUACUCAAGAUGUCUGGGUAUUGCAAUCACUUGAUUCAACUGGGAGUUAAUCUUCCGGAUGAUAGCGUCAUUGACAGAAUUCUUCAAUCACUGCCACCAAGCUACAAGAGCUUCGUGAUGAACUAUAACAUGCAAGGGAUGGAUAAGACGAUUCCCAAGCUCUUCGCAAUGCUAAAGGCUGCAAAGGUAGAAAUCAAGAAGGAGCAUCAAGUGUUGAUGGUCAAUAAGACCACCAGUUUCAAGAAAAAGGGCAAAGGGAAGAAGAAGGGGAACUUCAAGAAGAACAGCAAGCAAGUUGCUGCUCAAGAGAAGAAACCCAUAUCUGGACCUAAGCCUGAGACUGAUCGAGUGCUUCUACUGCAAGCAGACUGGUCACUGGAAGCGGAACUGCCCCAAGUAUUUGGCGGAUAAGAAGGAUGGCAAGGUGAACAAAGGUAUAUGUGAUAUACAUGUUAUUGAUGUGUACCUUACUAGAGCUCGCAGUAGCACCUGGGUAUUUGAUACUGGUUCUGUUGCUAAUAUUUGCAACUCGAAACAGGGACUACGGAUUAAGCGAACACUGGCCAAGGACGAGGUGACAAUGCGCAUGGGAAAUGGUUCCAAAGUCGAUGUGAUAGUCGUCGGCACGCUACCUCUACAUCUACCUUCGGGAUUAGUAUUAGACCUAAAUAAUUGUUAUUUGGUGCCAGCGUUGAGCAUGAACAUUAUAUCUGGAUCUUGUUUCAUGCGAGACGGUUAUUCAUUUAAAUCAGAGAAUAAUGGUUGUUCUAUUUAUAUGAGUAAUAUCUUUUAUGGUCAUGCACCCUUGAAGAGUAGUCUAUUUUUGAUGAAUCUCGAUAGUAGUGAUACACAUAUUCAUAAUGUUGAAACCAAAAGAUGCAGAGUUGAUAAUGAUAGUGCAACUUAUUUGUGGCACUGCCGUUUGGGUCAUAUAGGUGUAAAGCGCAUGAAGAAACUCCAUACUGAUGGACUUUUGGAAUCACUUGAUUAUGAAUCACUUGGUACUUGCGAACCAUGCCUCAUGGGAAAGAUGACUAAAAUGUCGUUCUCCGGUACUAUGGAGAGAGCAAUAGAUUUGUUGGAAAUCAUACAUACAAAUGUAUGUGGUCCGAUGAAUAUUGAGGCUCGUGGCGGAUAUCAUUAUUUUCUCACCUUCAUAGAUGAUUUGAGCAGAUAUGGGUAUAUCUACUUAAUGAAACAUAAGUCUGAAACAUUUGAAAAGUUCAAAGAAUUUUAGAGUGAAGUUGAAAAUCAUCGUAACAAGAAAAUAAAGUUUCUACGAUCUGAUCGUGGAGGAGAAUAUUUGAGUUAUGAGUUUGGUCUUCAUUUGAAACAAUGUGGAAUAGUUUCGCAACUCACGCCACCCGGAACACCACAGCGUAAUGGUGUGUCCGAACAUCGUAAUCGUACUCUACUAGAUAUGGUGCGAUCUAUAAUGUCUCUUACUGAUUUACCGCUAUCGUUUUGCGGUUAUGCUUUAGAGACGGCCGCAUUCACGUUAAAUAGGGCACCAUCAAAAUCCGUUGAGACGACGCCUUAUGAACUGUGGUUUGGCAAGAAACCAAAGUUGUCGUUUCUUAAAGUUUGGGGCUGCGAUGCUUAUGUGAAAAAGCUUCAACCUGAUAAGCUCGAACCCAAAUCGGAGAAAUGUGUCUUCAUAGGAUACCCAAAGGAGACUGUUGGGUACACCUUCUAUCACAGAUCCGAAGGCAAGACUUUUGUUGCUAAAUUCGGAAUCUUUCUGGAGAAGGAGUUUCUCUCGAAAGAAGUGAGUGGGAGGAAAGUAGAACUUGAUGAGGUAACUGUACCUGCUCCCUUAUUGGAAAAUAGUUCAUCGCAGAAACUGGUUUCUGCGACACCUACACCAAUUAGUGAGGAAGUUAAUGAUGAUGAUCAUGAAACUUCAGAUCAAGUUAUUACUGAACUUCGUAGGUCAACCAGAGUAAGAGCCGCACCAGAGUGGUACGAUAAUCCUGUUCUGGAAGUUAUGUUACUAGACCAUGACGAACCUAUGAACUAUGAAGAAGCGAUGGUGAGCCCAGAUUCCGCGAAAUGGCUUGAGGCCAUGAAAUUUGAGAUGGGAUCCAUGUAUGAGAACAAAGUGUGGACUUUGGUUGACUUGCCCGAUGAUCGGCAAGCAAUUGAGAAUAAAUGGAUCUUCAAGAAGAAGACUGACGCUGACGGUAAUGUUACUGUCUAUAAACCUCGACUUGUUGCAAAAGGUUUUCGACAAGUUCAAGGGAUUGACUACGAUGAGACCUUCUCACCCUAGCGAUGCUUAAGUCUGUCCGAAUCAUGUUAGCAAUUGCCGCAUUUUAUGAUUAUGAAAUUUGGCAAAUGGAUGUCAAAACAGCAUUCCUGAAUGGAUUUCUGGAAGAAGAGUUGUAUAUGAUGCAACCGGAAGGUUUUGUCGAUCCAAAGGGAGCUAACAAAGUGUGCAAGCUCCAGCGAUCCAUUUAUGGACUGGUGCAAGCCUCUCGGAGUUGGAAUAAACGCUUUGAUAGUGUGAUCAAAGCAUUUGGUUUUGUACAGACUUUUGGAGAAGCCUGUAUUUACAAGAAAGUGAGUGGGAGCUCUGUAGCAUUUCUAAUAUUAUAUGUGGAUGACAUAUUGCUGAUUAGAAAUGAUAUAGAAUUUCUGAAUAGCAUAAAGGGAUACUUGAAUAAGAGUUUUUCAAUGAAAGACCUCGGUGAAGCUGUGUAUAUAUUGGGCAUCAAGAUCUAUAGAGAUAGAUCAAGACGCUUAAUUGGACUUUCACAAAGCACAUACCUUGACAAAGUUUUGAAGAAGUUCAAAAUGGAUCAAGCAAAGAAAGGGUUCUUGCCUGUGUUACAAGGUGUGGAGUUGAGUAAGACUCAAUGCCCGACCACUACAGAAGAUAGAGAGAAAAGGAAAGAUGUUCCCUAUGCUUCAGCCAUAGGCUCUAUCAUGUAUGCAAUGCUGUGUACUAGACCUGAUGUGUGCCUUGCUAUAAGUCUAGCAGGGAGGUACCAAAGUAAUCCAAGAGUGGAUCACUGGACAGCGGUCAAGAACAUCCUGAAAUACCUGAAAAGGACUAAGGAUAUGUUUCUUGUUUAUGGAGGUGACAAAGAGCUCAUCGUAAAUGGUUACGUUGAUGCAAGCUUUGACACUGAUCCGGACGAUUCUAAAUCGCAAACCGGAUACGUGUUUACAUUGAACGGUGGAGCUGUCAGUUGGUGCAGUUCUAAACAAAGCGUCGUGACGGGAUCUACGUGUGAAGCGGAAUACAUAGCUGCUUCGGAAGCAGCAAAUGAAGGAGUCUGGAUGAAGGAGUUCAUAUCCGACCUAGGUGUCAUACCUAGUGCAUCGGGUCCAAUGAAAAUCUUUUGUGACAAUACUGGUGCAAUUGCCUUGGCGAAGGAAUCCAGAUUUCACAAGAGAACCAAGCACACCAAGAGACGCUUCAAUUCCAUCCGGGAUUUAGUCCAGGUGGGAGACAUAGAAAUUUGCAAGAUACAUACGGAUCUGAAUGUUGCCGACCCGUUGACUAAGCCUCUUCCACGAGCAAAACAUGAUCAGCACCAAGGCUCCAUGGGUGUUAGAAUCAUUACUGUGUAAUCUAGAUUAUUGACUCUAGUGCAAGUGGGAGACUGAAGGAAAUAUGCCCUAGAGGCAAUAAUAAAUUUAUUAUUUAUUUCCUUAUAUCAUGAUAAAUGUUUAUUAUUCAUGCUAGAAUUGUAUUAACCGGAAACGUAAUACUUGUGUGAAUACAUAGACAAACAGAGUGUCACUAGUAUGCCUCUACUUGACUAGCUCAUUAAUCAAAGAUGGUUAUGUUUCCUAGCCAUUGACAUGGGUUGUCAUUUGAUUAACGGGGUCACAUCAUUAGGAGAAUGAUGUGAUUGACUUGACCCAUUCCGUUAGCUUAGCACUCGAUCGUUUAGUAUGUUGCUAUUGCUUUCUUCAUGACUUAUACAUGUUCCUAUGACUAUGAGAUUAUGCAACUCCCGUUUACCGGAGGAACACUUUGUGUGCUACCAAACGUCACAACGUAACUGGGUGAUUAUAAAGGUGCUCUACAGGUGUCUCCAAAGGUACUUGUUGGGUUGGCGUAUUUCGAGAUUAGGAUUUGUCACUCCGAUUGUCGGAGAGGUAUCUCUGGGCCCACUCGGUAAUGCACAUCACUUAAGCCUUGCAAGCAUUCCAACUAAUGAGUUAGUUGCGGGAUGAUGUAUUACGGAACGAGUAAAGAGACUUGCCGGUAACGAGAUUGAACUAGGUAUUGAGAUACCGACGAUCGAAUCUCGGGCAAGUAACAUACCGAUGACAAAGGGAACAAUGUAUGCUGUUAUGCGGUCUGACCGAUAAAGAUCUUCGUAGAAUAUGUGGGAGCCAAUAUGAGCAUCCAGGUUCCGCUAUUGGUUAUUGACCGGAGACGUGUCUCGAUCAUGUCUACAUAGUUCUCGAACCCGUAGGGUCCGCACGCUUAACGUUUCGAUGACAGUUAUAUUAUGAGUUUAUAUGUUUUGAUGUACCGAAGGUUGUUCGGAGUCCCGGAUGUGAUCACAGACAUGACGAGGAGUCUCAAAAUGGUCGAGACAGGAAGAUUGAUAUAUUGGAAGCCUAUAUUUGGAUAUCGGAAGUGUUCCGGGUGAAAUCGGGAUUUUACCGGAGUACCGGAGGGGUUACCGGAACCCCCGGGGUUAAUGGGCCAUAGUGGGCCUUAGUGGAGAAGAGGAGAGGGGGGCGGCGCCCCCCCCCCUUUCCUUCUCCUCCUCCACCUCUUUCCCCCCCUUCUCCUAUUCCAACAAGGAAGGGAGGGAGUCCUACUCCCGGUGGGAGUAGGACUCCUCCUGGCGCGCCUCCUCCCUGGCCGGCCGCACCUCCCCCCUUGCUCCUUUAUAUACGGGGGCAGGGGGCACCCCAAAGACAACAAUUGAUCGUUUGAUCUUUUAGCCGUGUGCGGUGCCCCCCUCCACCAUAGUCCACCUCGAUAAUACUGUAGCGGUGCUUAGGCGAAGCCCUGCGUCGGUAGAACAUCAUCAUUGUCACCACGCCGUCGUGCUGACAAAACUCUCCCUCAACACUCAGCUGGAUCGGAGUUCGAGGGACGUCAUCGGGCUGAACGUGUGCUGAACUCGGAGGUGCCGUGCGUUCGGUACUUGAUCGGUCGGAUCAUGAAGACGUACGACUACAUCAACCGUGUUGUGCUAACGCUUCCGCUUUUGGUCUACGAGGGUACGUGGACAACACUCUCCCCUCUCGUUGCUAUGCAUCACCAUGAUCUUGCGUGUGCGUAGGAAAUUUUUUGAAAUUACUACGUUCCCCAACAGGUUAUUCUCAAGAGGAGUGGACUCCGCUCCUCACUCACGAGAAAAUGGCUGGUCACCGGGAUGCCCAGUCCCAUGCUUUAUGCAAACCAAAUCAAAAUAAUUGCAAACAAAACUCCCCUAGGACUCUUGUUAGUUGGAGGCACUCGUUGUUUCGAGAAAGCCAUGGAUUGAUGCUUGUUGGUGGAGGGGGAGUAUAAACUUUACCAUUCUGUUUGGGAACCGCCUAUAAUGUGUGUAGCAUGGAAGAUAUCGCCAUCUCUCGGUUGUUAUGUUGACAAUGAAAGUAUGCCGCUCAAAAUAAUUUAUCUCUGCUUUAAAAUCGAGCUCUGGCACCUCUACAAAUCCCUGCUUCCUUCUGCGAAGGGCCUAUCUAUUUACUUUUAUGUUGAGUCAUCACCGUCUUAUUAAAAAGCACCAGCUGGAGAGCACCGCUGUCAUUUGCAUCCAUUACUAUUAGUUUAUAUUGGGUAUGACUAUGACUGGAUCUCUUUUACCAUGAAUUACAAUGUUUAGUCGGUCCUUGAUCUUUAAAGGUGCUCUGCAUUUAUGUUUUGCGGUCUCAGAAAGGGCUAGCGAGAUACCAUCUUGUUAUAUCAUAUCAUGAUUGUUUUGAGAAAGUGUUGUCAUCCGAGAUUUAUUAUUAUUGCUCGCUAGUUGAUUAUGCCAUUGACAUGAGUAAACAUGAGACCUAAAUGUUAUUGUGAAUAUGGUUAGUUCAUAAUCUUUGCUGAAAACUUGAAUGUUGGCUUUACAUAUUUACAACAACAAGAGCAAACAGAGUUUGUAAAAGUUUUUCUUUAUCACUUUCAGUUUAUCAACUGAAUUGCUUGAGGACAAGCAACGGUUUAAGCUUGGGGGAGUUGAUACGUCUCCGUCGUAUCUACUUUUCCAAACACUUUUGCCCUUGUUUUGGACUCUAACUUGCAUGAUUUGAAUGGAACUAACCCGGACUGGCGUUGUUUUCAGCAGAAUUGCCAUGGUGUUUUCUUUGUGCAGAAACAAAAGUUCUCGGAAUGACCUGAAACUUCACGGAGAUUAUUUUUGGAAAUAAUAAAAAAUAUUGGCAAAAGAAUCAAGGCCAGGGGGCCCACACCCUGUCCACGAGGGUGGGAGGCGCGCUGCCCCCCCCCCCUAGGGCCCGCCCCUGCCUCGUGGGCCCCCUGGAGCUCCACCGACCUCAACUCCAACUCUAUAUGUUCGUGUUCGGGGAGAAAAAACCAGAGAGAAGGAUUCAUCGUGUUUUACGAUACGGAGCCGCCGCCAAGCCCUAAACUCUCUCGGGAGGGCUGAUCUGGAGUCCGUUCGGGGCUCCGGAGAGGGGAAUCCAUCGCCAUCGUCAUCAUCAACCAUCCUCCAUCACCAAUUUCAUGAUGCUCACCGCCAUGCGUGAGUAAUUCCAUUGUAGGCUUGCUGGACGGUGAUGGGUUGGAUGAGAUUUAUCAUGUAAUCGAGUUAGUUUUGUUAGGGUUUGAUCCCUCGUAUCCACUAUGUUCUGAGAUUGAUGUUGCUAUGAAUUUGCUAUGCUUAAUGCUUGUCACUAGGGCCCGAGUGCCAUGAUUUCAGAUCUCAACCUAUUAUGUUUUCAUGAAUAUAUAUGAGUUCUUUAUCCUAUCUUGCAAGUCUAUAGUCACCUACUAUGUGUUAUGAUCCGGCAACCCCGAAGUGACAAUAAUCGGGACCACUCCCGGUGAUGACCGUAGUUUGAGGAGUUCAUGUAUUCACUAUGUGUUAAUGCUUUGGUCCGGUACUCUAUUAAAAGGAGGCCUUAAUAUCCCUUGGUUUCCGUUAGGACCCCGCUGCCACGGGAGGGUAGGACAAAAGAUGUCAUGCAAGUUCUUUUCCAUAAGCACGUAUGACUAUAUUCGGAAUACAUGCCUACAUUAUAUUGAUGAAUUGGAGCUAGUUCUGUGUCACCCUAUGUUAUGACUAUUACAUGAUGAACCGCAUCCGGCAUAAUUCUCCAUCACCGAUCCAAUGCCUACGAGCUUUUCACAUAUUGUUCUUCGCUUAUUUACUUUUUUGUUGCUACUGUUACAAUCACUACAAAACCCAAAAAUAUUACUUUUGCUACCGUUACCGUUACUUCCAUGCUACUUUGCUACUAAAUACUUUGCUGCAGAUACUAAGUUAUCCAGAUGUGGUUGAAUUGACAACUCAGCUGCUAAUACUUGAGAAUAUUCUUUGGCUCCCCUUGUGUCGAAUCAAUAAAUUUGGGUUGAAUACUGUACCCUCGAAAACUGUUGCGAUCCCCUAACUUGUGGGUUAUCAAGCCUCCACUGUCCCAGCACGCGCAUAUCAGGCGGCGCCAGGUAGUUGGCCUCGUGGAGGAGGUAGGCCUCCCUCUUGUCCAGGUCACGGCGGCCGAAGCCGUUGGCCGCCGCUUCAUCGCCGGGGAGUCGCUCCCACAUCGGCGGUUAUAGACGCUGUAGACGGGGAGAGGAGAGAGAGAGAGAGAGAGAGAGAGAGAGAGAGAGAGAGAGAGAGAGAGAGAGAGAAAGAGAGAGAGAGAGACGAGAUGGGGCGUCGGUGGCGAGAGAGGGACUGCGGGUGAAGGAGAGUGCGUCCACCGGCGAUGAAGGGGGCGGUAGACGUGUGUACGCAUGGCGGGAGGGGAUGGGCGCGCCGCCGCGCGAUCACUGCGUCGCCCAUGAGGAAUCAAUGAAGGCUGACCGGCGGCAGCCUUGGCAUUGAUUCCCCGUAGAAAAAUGAGGCGAUGAGGAAGACGAGACGCGGCUGGUCGCUGAUUCAGUGGGUCCACCGGGCUUUCGCGCCAAAAACGUUUUCCCCGGCGACCCCCAGCGCACCGGGUUUGGCCUGGGUCCGCCGGCGUCAAUUUCGUACCUAAGAGCAUCUCCAGCCGCGCCCCCAAGGGCCUUUAUUCGGCGCCCGCACCCAAAAACCGGCCCAGUCAUGCCCUAGGAGCCCAUUUUUCGCCGGUUUGGCCCGAAACUGGCGCCGGCGGACGCAGGCCGAACCCGGCGCCCGGGGGCGCCUGGGCAAUUGGUAUUGGCGCGAACGAAUGGCGGGCCCGUCGAGUCAGCGACCCACGCCUCGUCGUCCUCACAACGCCUCGUUUCUCACGGGGAAUCAAUGCCAAGGUUGCCGCCGGUCAGCCUUCCAUUGAUUCCUCACGGGCGGCGUGGUGCGGGGACGCGCCCCCCUCCCGCCACGCGUACACACGACGCAGACCCCCAGCCGCUAUAUAAGCAGCACCUCCCUAGCCAGAGACGCACCACCCGCCCGCAGCCCCCCUCUCUCCCCGUGCACAGCCGCCGCCGACGUUCUCUUUCCGCCGCUGCAGAUGAUGGGCGAGAGGUUCAACGGCGACGGGGCGGUGGCCAAUGGCUUCGUCCGCCACUCGCUGCACGAGUGGGAGGUCCACCUCCUACAUGAAGCGAACAUCCUGGCGCCUCCCGACAUGCGCGUGCCGNNNNNNNNNNNNNNNNNNNNNNNNNNNNNNNNNNNNNNNNNNNNNNNNNNNNNNNNNNNNNNNNNNNNNNNNNNNNNNNNNNNNNNNNNNNNNNNNNNNNNNNNNNNNNNNNNNNNNNNNNNNNNNNNNNNNNNNNNNNNNNNNNNNNNNNNNNNNNNNNNNNNNNNNNNNNNNNNNNNNNNNNNNNNNNNNNNNNNNNNNNNNNNNNNNNNNNNNNNNNNNNNNNNNNNNNNNNNNNNNNNNNNNNNNNNNNNNNNNNNNNNNNNNNNNNNNNNNNNNNNNNNNNNNNNNNNNNNNNNNNNNNNNNNNNNNNNNNNNNNNNNNNNNNNNNNNNNNNNNNNNNNNNNNNNNNNNNNNNNNNNNNNNNNNNNNNNNNNNNNNNNNNNNNNNNNNNNNNNNNNNNNNNNAGGAGCAGCGGGCCCGCCCGGAGUACGCCGCCGGCAACCACCAGGCGUGGGCGGCCUACUUCGAGCACCGACAGGCGGAGCGGCUGGCCUCUACCAACAACGCAUUGGUGGAACAGCGACGGCCGCCGCCUGUGGUGGGGCGCCCCCGGCCGCACGCUCCAUGCCGUCCUCGAGCACCUCGAGGGCGGCAACGAGCUGCCGUACACGUACCCUGCCGUCCCGGCCCCCUGCCGGAGCGGCGGACAAUGGAUGCCGAUGAGGACCGUCUCCUCUUCCUCCUCCUCCCACUCCUCCGGCUCGCCGGCGCUGUACAGCGUCAAGGCCGAGCCCGUGGAGACGUCGCUCGGCCGGCGCACCCGCAGCGCCGGUAUCGUCAUCAACGAGGGCGGGCGCGCCUCCUCCUCGGCUCCUCCCCGCCUCGUCAAGCCAAAGAGGGAGUCGGGGCUCGCGGGCGUCAAGAUGGAGCCAGGGCUCGCCGCCGUCAAGACGGAGGCGGGGUUCAACGACGCUGCGGCCAUGAAGUGGGCGCAGGAGGACUGGGCGCGGCUGGAGCUGGAGCGCCAGCGCCGCGCCCUAGAGGAGAUCGCCGCUCGGCGCCGUGGCCGCGACGAUGGAGGCGUCGUCUUCUCUACGACAGCGACGACGACGCGCCGCCACCGGUCCGCCGGGGUGACUCCGGGCAGGGGUCCAGCAGGGACGGCUGCGUGAAGGAGGAGAAGGACGAUGGCGACUUCGCCCAGUUCAGCGAGGUCUUCCUAUAGUCGCGGCCUUUGUUUUUUAAGUGAAUUUUAAGUUUGCUAUGAAGAACUGUUUAAGUCACCGAAAUUUAUGCCCAUUUGCCGGAUUUAUUUUCAAAAAAGAAAUUAAAAACGCCUUCUGGGGGCGACCCUGGGGCCGGCGGCUGGGAACCCGAUCGGCCCCAAGCCGAUCUUAGCGCCGGGUCGCCUCCUGGAGGCGAUUUUUCGAGCCUCCUGGGGCCAACGGCUGGAGAUGCUCUAACCGGCGAAAAUUUGGCUUCCGGAGACAUAACUGGGCCGUUUUUUUAACGCCUGCGAUAAAAAUGGUCUUGGGAACCUGAUGGGGGAGCGGGUGUAGAUGCUCUUAUACGUAAGCACAAGGUGAUCUAGCCAUCUAGGUGAGGCGUACUGCAAUGCAAAUCAAGUGACACAUGGGUCGGGUCCCACGUGAAAGCCACCGUACUGCAUGACUACAGAGGACCCCGAUCCGGAUACUUAUAUGUCAAACACUGCAAUCUGAGACUUUUCUGAAUAAUGCACCGCACGCCCCUUUCUAAGAAAAGGAGUGAGCGAGCAGGCGUACUAGAUAAAUGCCAGCCCCAGCGGCCAGCCGACUGGCGUGAGCAAGCUGAGCACUACUAGUACAUCUCCCACAGCCACACUCCUCAAUCAUUCCGAGAGCUCUCCUGGCGCUCGCCGUCUCCGUCUUCUUCUCCACCAUGGCCUCCUUCGCCGCGCUUCCUCUGGCCGCUCUCCUGGUGCUGGCCGUCUCGUGGGCAUGGGAGCACCUCGUGUGGAGGCCCUACGCCAUAGGCAAGAGGCACAGGGCGCAAGGGAUUCAUGGCCCCCCUUACAGGUUCCUCAAGGGCUCAAACGAGGAGGUGAGGCGGAUGAAGGCGGAGACGGCCGACGUGGUGCUCGACGUUCGCGACCACAACUACCUCCCCAGGGUCGCGCCGCACUUCCUCAAGUGGAGGGCACAGUAUGGUACGAGAUUCUUCUCUCUUUUUUCGAAUAUGGUACGUGAUUUUGCUCAACGCUCCUCUCUGUGCUGUUUUGGUCAAUUUGUUACUAUAUAAUAUGCUAUAUAUGGUCACCCAAGGGCAAGGCGACAUAGAUUUUAGUGACCUGUAAGCUAACUGUUGAUCCUGUGCAGUUAUGAUCUACUGUAUUCUAGUAGUAGCAACGUGGAUAUUAUGUGGAGUACUAUAGUUGAUGAUACGGAUGAUAAUAUGCAUACUUGCACAUGUGUACACAGGAGAGCCAUUUCUGUUCUGGUUUGGCGCGAAUCCCCGGAUCUGCGUCUUCGACUACGAGAUGGUUCGGCAGAUCCUUUCAAGCAAAUCCGGACACUUUCCGAAGAACGACGCGCACCCGAACGUGUUGGAAUUGCUCGGCAAGGGACUGGUAUUGGUGAACGGUGUGGAUUGGGUGCGCCAUCGCAGGGUCAUCGACCCUGCUUUCGCAAUGGAUAAGAUGAAGGUAAUUGAUAUUAUGCCUUAAUCUCCACAUAAAAAAUGUACGUAGUCCGCAGCAAGCAAGCGUGAUGCAAGCUGAAUUCUAGUAUGAAUAUCUGUCCGCCUUGUACUAGUGUCAAGUAGGAAGAACACACUAGACAUAGACAUAGGAAUGAUCGUAUACAGUGUCAAACCAGUGACCUUUCCAAAAAGGAAUCAAAUCCAGUGAAUAAAAAUACAAAAUGGGCAUGGUUUAAUUUUCUAUGCAAUUACUACUCAUAUUGCUUUUCACCUUCAAUGUUAGGCGAUGACGAAAACAAUGGUGUCUUGCGCCCAAUGCACGUUCGGUGUGUUCGAAGAGCAGGCAGCCAAGAACACAAAUGGAGAAAUCCUAGUGGAAUUCGACAAAGCAGUCCAAGGGUUGACAGCAGAUAUCAUAUCCCACACAGCCUUUGGAAGUAGCUACAAAUUAGGAAUGGAAGCCUUCCAUGCCCAGAAAGAGCUCCAGGCAAUCGCCAUAUCCAGUUUACUUAAUGUGCAGAUACCAGGAUUCAGGUAACACCACCCCACAUAUAUAUAUAUAUAUAUAUAUAUAUAUAUAUAUAUAUAUAUAUAUAUAUAUAUAUAUAUAUGCUUUCAUUUGAAUGAGAAGCUCAUUCCCAUAUUUGACUCGCUUAAUUAAGCGUAACUGCAUAUGUUCUUUUGAGACCAGCUACCUGCCCACAAGAAGGAAUAGGCUCAAGUGGAUGCUUGAAAAGAAGCUUAGAAGCACGCUCAUGUGUAUCAUAAACUCGCGGCUAGCGUCGCGAGGGAGCGGAUACGGAAAUGAUCUACUCGGUUUGAUGCUUGAGGCCUGCACCACAACAGAGCAAGGGGGCAAGCAAGAGCAGCUAAGCUUGAGCAUGGAUGAGAUCCUACACGAGUGCAAAACGUUCUUCUUCGCGGGUUACGAAACGACGUCGAUUCUGCUCACCUGGACAGUGUUCUUGCUCAGUGUGUACCCGGAGUGGCAGGAGAGGCUACGGGAGGAGGUCCUGAGGGAAGUUGGAACGGGUAACCCCAGCGGCGACAACCUCGGCAAACUGAAAGAGGCAAGAUCAAAAAACCAACCCUUAUCUUGAUUUAAUGAUCACGUCUUGAGAAAUUGCUUUGUGCAUUAAAAUAUAUAUACAGUAGGAUCAUUCGACGCUCAUGCAUGCAAUGAAAUUUCAAGAUAUGUACAGCUAACUAGAACAUGACAUGUGUUGCAGAUGACGAUGGUCCUCCAUGAAGCCCUGAGGCUCUACGGCCCUGCUCUUUUCAUGCAGAGGAAGACCAUAACUGACAUGGUGGUCGGAGCCAUAACAAUCCCCAAGGACCAUGCAGUUGUCAUAGGCGCCCCAUUCAUGCACCGGGACAAGAAGGUCUGGGGUGAGGACGCGGAUCAGUUCAACCCGACGAGAUUCGCGAACGGGGUCGCGAGGGCGGCCAAGGUUCCACACGCCCUGCUGGCGUUCUCGAUCGGGCCGAGGGCGUGCAUCGGCCAGAACUUUGCGAUGCUCGAAGCCAAGUCGGUAAUGGCCACGGUUCUGCAGAAGUUCUCCUUCACUCUCUCCCCGACCUACGUCCACGCGCCUGCGGAUUUCCUCACUCUGCAGCCUAAGUUUGGCCUCCCCGUCGUUAUGAAGCUGCUGGAUGUAUGAAACGGAACCGGUUGGUUCUGAAUGUUGCAGUACAGAACUUGUGAAUUUUCUGCCUGAGCUGGCUGUGGUGCAUAUAGUGCACGCAGUGUAAAUAUUCUUUUCCAAAUUAAGGUUGGAAAAGUAGUACGUACAAUUACAUACAGGAAAAUAUAUUGCAUGUGGCCUGACCACCCGUCUGUCUGCAUGGAUAGUCUAAUUUUCGCUAAUAUAUAGUCCUGCCUUGCCUUUCUCUCUAAGCUGAAUCUCCUCAGACGCCUCUUGCACCACUUGCACCGUUGUGGAUGGUUUUUUGCCAAAGACUCUUGAAUUCCCUCCCAGCCAUAGCUUUCUCAUAGCUGCUGCAAAACCUGCUCUGGAACUUGAAGAUGGACGUCUGGAGAAGGAAGUUGAGGCAGAACCUGACAGUCAGGAGUUAAAACUUUUCGCAGUAGAGAAACAUGAAAAACAGGGUGCAGAACUUGAAAGCCAAUUUAUGGUUGGCCCAUUCAUAAGCCAUUUUCCCCACGCGAGCCAAGAUUCCAAAAGGGUCGUAGAACUUGAAAGCCAAUUUAUGGUUGGCCCUAGGUGCAACAGAAGACUGCAGGUACGGCUGAAGUUUGAGAAACACCUGGUCCCCAACAGCAAAAGCACGUUCAGUGCGAUGUUUAUCUGCUUAAGCUUUCAUGCGUUGUUGAGCACGCAGCAGAUGCUGCCUAACAGACUCCAACACCAUCUGACAGUUGUCGAGCCACGGUUGCAAAUCUUCAUGGCGAGUAGCGCCAUCAGGUGAUUGACACGUUCUGUCUCGCCAUCAGACUGCGGAUGGCGAGCUGAACUCCUACGAAGCAGAGUGCCAGUUUUUUGAAACAAUUCCUUCCAAAAACCACUAGUAAAAAUGUGAUCCCGAUCAGACACAAUAGAGAGUGGCAUACAAUGGAGCUUAUAAACAGAAUCCAAGAAAGCCUCUGCCACCUUUUUGAGCCGUGAAAGGGUGAUGUAAGGGAACAAAAUGGUCGUAUUGGGACAAUUUGUCGAUGACCAGAAACAAACAGUUAUACCUGCCAGAUGUGGGCAACCCUUUUACAAAAUCUAUCGUGACCAUUUCCCAAGGAGUUUUAGUUAUUGCUAACGGCUGCAACAAGCCGGGGUAAGGAAUCCUCUCUGGUUUGGCCUGUUGGCAGACAAGACAGUGUGUUGCACAAACUGUUAGAUAAAACCUUUCAUGCCAGCCCAACGAAAGAGCUGAUAAACACGGCGAUAGGUGACAGGGAAAUCAGAGUGCCUUCCCAAGGGGCUGUCAUAGAAGGCACUGACUAUUUUCUUGUGCAAAGCUGGAUCAGCUCCAAUCCAGAUGCAACUGUCAACUCGGAGUAAACCAACUUUGAGAGAAAAUUUAGCGUCAGCCUGAGGAGUAGUGGCGAGUCGUUGCAACAAUUCAGAAGCAAAGGAAUCAUUGUAUAGCUGGCCACAAUAUCAUCGAGCCACACCGGUUGGGUAGAAGAAAUAGCAUGCAGCUCAGGUAAUGUUUCACUCACUGAAUGAGGCAUGCGCGACAAAGCCUUGGCACCUCGAUUCUCGGAUCCUUUCUUAUAGCUGAUGGUAUAUUGUAAACCCAAAAGCUUGAUUAAAGCCUUCUGCUGCCAACUAAUGUGCAAACACUGAUUAGUCAAACUAGCCAAACUGUGCUGAAUGAUGAAGUCUGAUAACUGAAGAUAUUGACGCCAAUGCUCCACUACCAGCAAGAUUGCCAAGUACUCCUUUUCAUAAACAGAUAGUGUUUGAUUUCUUGGACCUAAAGCUUAACUCACAUAUGCCAAAGCGUGACCUCCUUGCAUCAGAACAUCACCAAUGCCCACAUCACAAGCGUCGGUCUCCACUAUGAAUUUCUUAGAGACGUAUGCAUCGUCCAGAUGCAGAGGCCGGGGGGGUCGUCCUCCUUUUCUAAAUAAAUAAAAAAUGAAUUUCUUAGAGAAAUCAGGAAGAGCCAAACCAGGGGAUGUAAGCAUGGCGUGUUUGAGAGCAACAAAAGCUUGUUUUCCCACUUCUGUCCAAUGAAACAGCACGCCCUUUUUAAGAAGGUUUGUAAUAGGCCUACAAAUGAUCCCGUAAUGUUGGAUGCACUUUCUAUAUAGCUAGCUAGGCCCAAAAACCUUCUCACUUCCUUAGCGGAAACAAGAACUAGCCACUGUUGAAUAGUGAAAAUCUUGGAUGGGUCUGUUGCCACACCUUGACCACUGAUAAUAUGCCCCAAAUAGCCCAUUUUAGUUUGAACAAAGGCACACUUGGACAGUUUGACUUGCCACUGAUGUGUUAACAGAAGUUGAAAAGUUGAGCAAGAUGUUGCAGAUGGAGCUCAUAGGUAGGAAUAUAGAUCAAUAUAUCAUCAAAGAAAACAAUAGCACAUUGUCUGAGGACUAGGGACAACAUGUCAUUCGUAGCAUAUUGAGAAGUCCCUGGAGCACCAAACAAGCCAAAAGGCAUGACCAAAAAUUCAAAAUGACAGGUGUGAGUUUGGAAAGUUGUUUUGUAUUCUUCUCCAGGUGCCAACCUGAUAUGGUGAUAACCAGCUCGUAAAUUCAAUUUGGAAAACUAGAAGGAUCCAGCUAAUCCAUCAAGUAGCUCAUCAAUAAUUGCAAAAGGAAAUUUGCACUUAGCGGUAAUUGCAUUCAGAUGUCUAUAAUCAAUAAUAGGUCUCCAGGUUUUAUCCUUUUUCUGAACUAAAAUCAUAGAAGAAGAGAAUGAACUAUUACUGUGUCUAAUCACUCCAUUGUGAAGAAGUUCCUGAACUUGUCUUUCCAGUUCAUCCUAAAGUGCAGAGGCAAUUCUAUAAGGCCUGAGAGAAACAGGAGUAGCACCAGGAAUAAGUGGGAUAGUGUGGUCAUACUUCCUUCUAUUUUGGGACUAACCUUAAAAUGCAUGAUGGCAUAAUUUUCUUUUUGUAUGGUUAUGAUUUCAGGAACCUUCUAGAAUCCAAGAAUUGCGUGAAAAAUCAANNNNNNNNNNNNNNNNNNNNNNNNNNNNNNNNNNNNNNNNNNNNNNNNNNNNNNNNNNNNNNNNNNNNNNNNNNNNNNNNNNNNNNNNNNNNNNNNNNNNNNNNNNNNNNNNNNNNNNNNNNNNNNNNNNNNNNNNNNNNNNNNNNNNNNNNNNNNNNNNNNNNNNNNNNNNNNNNNNNNNNNNNNNNNNNNNNNNNNNNNNNNNNNNNNNNNNNNNNNNNNNNNNNNNNNNNNNNNNNNNNNNNNNNNNNNNNNNNNNNNNNNNNNNNNNACACUCACACACACACGCGCGCGCACGUGUGCGUGCAUCUAGGGCCUGAUGUGCUCUAAGGGAUUCAACAAAGAGAAAAUGGGGUUUGUGAUGUGUGACCUACAAACAAGUUGACUAACCUGAUGUUCCUCGUCACAAGCACAAAAGUGUCAAAUGAAGUAGCAUGUGUUGUGGACAAGAGGACGAUUGUAUGGUUGAACCCAUGCGAAGGAGUAAAGGCAGGGUUUGUUUUGGAGAUCAUUCGUCUUUGUGAAGCAUUGAAGAAUGAUUGUGUUUAGUCAGUACCUUGAACCAUUGGCCCUGAUCAUGGAUCAGCUGACCAGAAAAUUAAACUUGGCUGAAGGCAAGGCGAUUGUGCUGAUGAAUGGAAAUGUGCGUGUUAAACAGCGAAACAACUAGUAGCCUUGAUGGAAGCCAUCAACGACAUGAACAUCGACGCCAAGGUGAUGCUUGCAUCAACCAAGGCAUGUUGUGAAGGCAUAACACUUGUUGGUCACUGCGCGGCACUCGGCGAGCAAUCUUCAAAUUAUUCAAAAACACUCUGUUGGUGCAUCGCGAGUAGUUCUCAUUGUCUUAUGGAAUUCUUUUGUUGGAAGGCACCGAUUGGCCGAGCAUGUAGAAGCAUGUGCCCAUCCAGUGGGGGGCCAUGGCCCCCACAAAUAAAUUGCAAAAUGUUACCCCCCCUCCGUUCCUAAAUAUUUGUUUUAGAGAUUUCAAAUGGACUACCACAUACGGAUGUAUAUAAACAUAUUUUAGAGUGUAGAUUCACUCAUUUUGCUCCGUAUAUAAUCACUUGUUGAAACCUCUAGAAAGACAAAUAUUUAGGAACGGAGGAAGUAUUUACUAGUGCAUGCAUAUGCAUAUAUCCAUUAUAUUAAUUUUGGUGCAACCUAAAUACUCCAAAACUUCAACCCUUCAUAAUGUUGCCUUCACAUAGGUCGAAAUCUUGGUCUGCCAAUGCAGUUAGGAGAGGUGAUUUUUUUAAGCAUGAAAACAUAUAACAAUAUUGUACAUCCUCUGAUCCAAAAUAAGUGUCGUUGUUUUGAUCAGAUGGAGUAUAAUAUCAAGAACUUGCUACAUUCCUAAAUUUCAUAUUGUAAAAUAAAUAAAUUAUCAGAUAGGUAAUUUUGGACUCUCCUCCUUUUGGUUACCAUAGAUCAUGUUCUCUUUUGCCACUGCAUAUUCAAAAUAGACUAAUACAUGUUCACAAACAUGAAAACAUUUACCCUAGUUUUGAUAUAUAUACCACUAAAAAUAUGUUAUGUUUCAUCCUAAAUCUAUUCCUCUUUUGGAUGAAGAGGGGGGAGGGGGCAGGGGAGGGGCUGGUCUAAAGAUACAAAGGGGUUUCAUCAAAUGUGGAGCAAAAUGAGGGUCUUUCCCAAAAUUGUCAUGGCUGGUCUUUUAUUGGAGUGGGAUUUGCUAGUACCAAUCUAUUUCUCAUGGUUUGGUUAUAAUUUAUCGUCAUAAAUUUACAAAAUCGUGAUUUAUAUCUGGCAAACUAACCAAAAGUGCAGCGCCUGCCCUCAUGCUUCUCAAAAAAACACUAGAUCCUUUGGGGAUUCUAAAGUGUCGAGGGCUUAAGGCUGUGCAAUCCUCUAAGUCACUGAAAUGAUUAAGCAACCGUACAGCGCUAGGCACGAGAGCUUCUUAUUGCUUGGUGACAAGAUUAGUUUCAAGUACGAGCUGAGAUAUGGAAAAACAGAAGUAAACAAGAACAUCUGGAUCAUCCGAUCACGGUUAUCAAAGACUGAUUUUACUCCACAUGAUAGAUGUUUCGCCAUUACAAACCGCUCAGCAGUUCAACUAUUUAAAGGUAGCAGACAUUCAAGACCAGGGCAUCACUCAAAAACAAAACCAGUAGCAUUUCUGUAAGAGGGGUAACUAAAUGGGACGACAUAAUGUUUUCCAGAUCGACCAAUCCCAGUACCAAGAAUCCAGCAGGUGGGAGAACAAAGAUUCUAGAUCUUGUUGAAGGCAACGAUGUCACACGACUGGACAUAUUCGUUGAUGGGCGCCUCGCAAAGCACUUCCUCAAUAAGAGUGUCGACGGACACAAGGUCAUCGAUGAUCGUCAGCAUGAUCUGGAGCUUCUUGAUGCCAUAACCCACAGGCAUAAGCUUAGCUGCAAGAGUGAAAGCAAUGUGUUAACUUUGUCAAACUGUUGCAUCAGUGAGCUAUGAGAAGAGAUAUAUACUAUAUGAAAAGAAAUGAGUUCCUUACAUGCACCCCAGGUGAGACCCUCCAUUUGAACACUGCGGACAGCCUCCUCCAACUUCUUCAUGUCAGUCUCAUCGUCCCAUGGCUUGAUGUCCAUGAGGACGGAGGAUUU
rnacentral:lncRNA from 1 species